AAGGUCCGACCCCAAAAAAAGCCCGAUUAUUUAGAUUUCGAGUCAGGUCGGGCGGGUCAAGGUCGGGUCGGGCUUUUUUCAAGCCUACACAGUGCUUUCACUCUCACCUUAAAUAUUUGGCUUUGUUUUGUCCAAUUUUGCUUUGUUUGUCAAUGAUGUAAAGCAAAAUUGCUUUGUUCUAGAACCAUUAUAUAUUUUAUGUCCAUAAUUUUUCAUAAAAAAGUUAAAAAAAAAAAAAAACCUAAUGUCUUAUACAAAUAAAAAAAACACAAUUCCACAAUUCAAUUUGAUAACGCAACAUAAAAAUAAUAAUAAUAAUAAUAAUUUUUCUCAUAUGCAUUGCACCCAAAAUUACUCUUUUAUACACGUGUGCGUGUGAGUGUAUACAUACACAUGUGCGUGUGAGUGUAUACAUACAUGCGCGCGCGUGCGCACACGCACACACUCACACACAUCCUCCAUAAAACUAAAAAGUCAUAAUCUUAUAAAAUUAAAGGGAGGGGCUAAGUUACGUGCACGUAACUUAGCGCCAGCCAAAAUUAAAAGGUCAUAAUUUUUUUGUCAAUUAAUGGGCCCUAAUUUUUCGGCCCAAGUUUGACCGAAAACCCGAACAUUCGGGCCAAAGCCCGAAAAAUUCGGGUCGGGUCAAGUGGGCCAAAAUUCAAGCCGGGUCAAAUUGCCAUUCCUAGGUUUGUUGUUUGAACUUAAAUGGAGAAGCAUUAUUAGCCCUUUUUUUUUCCCAAUAGCAAUUUUAGUAAAAUUUUACUGUAAUUCUCACCCAUGAUCUUAACGUCUUUGUUAUGCCCCUGCAAAUUAGAAUAAAGUUCUAAAGGACUAUAAAAAUGACACCACUCCCAUGUGGAGCCACUAGUCACUUCCCCUGUUUUCUUGCACAAAAUCAAAAAAGAACUGGCUAUGUUCACAACUUCAUAUUAGAGUUCAGGUGAGUGUCUUGUAAUUUGAUAAUUUUUUAAUCCAAUAAUUUGAUAAUUGUUAUUUUUUAUUAAGCAUAUGUGUGUUGUUGGUAAUAUUUAUCUCUAUGUGUGUUUGUGUAUGUGUGUGUAAUCUAAUAAUUAGUUUAGUAAUUAAGAGAGAUUAAAUAAAUCAAUUUUAUUAAUUUUGUAGCUUUUAACUAUAAGUAUGGACUUGUAUGUUGUAAAUUUUAUUUUUAAAAAUAGUAUUAUUGAACAUAUACUCAUUGUUUUUAUCGUUUAAAUUACGUCUACCAAACAUGUAGUACAGUUUUCAUUUUUUAGACACAAAAUACAGAAAAAAAAUACAAGAUGCGUAUUUAAAUUUAAAAUACAAUCACAGCAAAACACCAUUCUCAUUUUCAUUUUUGUUUUAAGAAAUUACCAAUUGAAAAAUAGUACCGAAUGCGCCCUAGAUUUCUUAUAAUCUCCAAUUCAUAGAAAAUGAAAAAUUUCUCAGUCAAAAUAGUCCAUUGUCAUUCAUUUAUUCAGUGCUGGGCCAGGCAAGUAGAAGGUGGGGUGUCAAGACAAACAGAAUCCUUUAUGUAUUUCCUCCAUGCCUCCCUAAAUGGUUCAAGCAAACAAGUCUUGGUUUGGCUACAAAAAUAAACGCAGGAAUGCACACAGUAACAUGACUUUUUAGAACAAGAUUACCUGUUCAAACAACCCUUUUGGUAGAAAGGUAAGAACAUUGUACUUCGUAGUUGCUAUAGAGUUCCCCUGAAUCAAUUCAUAAAAUAACAAUCAAAACCACGAUCAAUCAAUUGAUACAAACCAAGAACGAAAGCACAUAUAUUCAGCAAGAGUGUAAAAAUGUCACAAAUUUCUAGAUAUCAAACCAGUUAACAAAUCAAAUCAUUACUCAGUAUACAUGGGGGCUGGGCACAAAUAAACCGAACUGAUCAAAACCGAUAUCAGUUUGGAUCAGUUUGGUUUACAACUUUCCAUUAGUUUAAUCCAUACCAAAAUAGACAUCACCAGAUCAGUUCAAACGUAUAGACAAGGUUACCAUAUAGACCCAGCAUAUAUAAAUGUAUGUCUAUGAUGAACUAAAUCUCAACCAACAAAUAUACCUCUGGUAGGAUGCCAAGGUCUAGCUCCAGUGGUAAGGAGCUGCCUUCCUAGGGCUCAAAUCCUGGGUUUGAGCUUCAAUGGGUGCAUGAGUUACAUAUACCUCAUGUAGGUUCCUCAUCCUGACAGAGGCUUUGGUGUACUAUUGCAUGUUGAUGGAGGAUAUAAAAAAUAUCUAGCAGACUAUUUUAAUAUUCAAAACAGCAUUCAAUUUAUUUUUUUCAUUUAACAAUUAAAUUUUCUUAUCAACAGAAACUUCAUUACAUAAAACAAAAAAUCCUAUUUAUUAUGUGCAUCAAUGCAGCAUAACUAGAUUGGGAAAUCACUAUUAUUUAUUGCCAAUCCACUCUUUUAGGCAGGCAAGCUGUUGGAAGACUGCAAAGUUGCAUUAAUGAAGCCUAAACUACCAACGGAAUUAUGAGCAGGGUAAACAUGAACUUGGAAUGACAGUCGCAAAAACUUAUGGAAACAUCUCCAUGUUUGGAUUAGUGUGGUCUAGAAGGAAAAAGAAACAAAAAGGAGGAGGGGCAAAAAAGCACUUUGAGCACACACUGUGACUGUGGGAUAUAUUGUGCCUCAAGUAUCUAGCAGACAUGCUUUGGCACCCCUGUAUAGCUUGUGAAAAGAUAAAAUUAUGACAAAGACUUCCAUAGAGCGACUAUACCCUUAUCCUUAAACAACUGACUUCUGCUUUACUUACAAAUUUGACCCGAAAACAAACAUAGCCCACCAAUUACAACUGUAAUUUCAUUCUUUUUAAUAAAUUCCCAAAUACAUUCCAUAAAAUUGAAUGUCCAAAACUCAUGCACCCACUGAACCACACAAUCUUACCAAUACGACUCAAUCCCAUAACUAAGGCACUCCAAAUUUUUCUUAUAUUGAAAUAUUUGGUUAUAAAUUGGGUUGAUUAAGUCAUGUACACUUGUAAUACUUAAGAAAACAUGCUUUGUUAUCAUAUUUUCUUUACAUUAAAGCCCAAGCCAAAAACCUACCAAACAAGGGACAAUAUGUACAGCGCUUGAUUUAACAUUUUAAUUGUUAAACUAAUUCAAAUUUCUGUGCAGUAACACUAUGCUUAGAGGAGAGGAAAGCUUGAUUAAGGACCAAUAGAAGGGCAAGCAUCUAAUCAUUCCAUCUACUUGUUUGGACGAAAUGAUAAAAAGAAGAGAGAAAGAAAUAGAUCAUCACUACUCCGAGGGAUCAUCUUGAAAUGACAAGAGAGGAGAAAUGUUAUACAUUAAUUUGUCCAUUUUAAGUUAAUAUAAAAAAAAAUAUUUUUUUUUAUUUGUCACCAAUGUAUAAUAUUAAAAAACAAAGUUCGAUUUUCUUCUCUCUAUUGGUUUUCCUUCUUCUUUUUCUUCUGACCAUUUAUAGAAGACUUGAAUAACAGGAAUUGGAGGAAAAUCCUCCUUUCUUCCACAGUUAUCUUUCUUCCAUAGUUCCUUUCUUCUCACUUACACCCAAGAGAAAAUAAGAAGACAAGAUCAAUUCUAUCAUGGUACUUAACCUCUAACCACCAGAGAUUAAAUAAAAUAUACAGCAACCGCUAGGCUUUGCUACACAACUUAAACAUCUCAAAUCUGGUCAACAUCGAUCUGAUACUCAGUUUGUUGAGAUAAGCUAAUGGCGAUAAACCUUAAACUUAGGAGGCAAGAAACUAGAAGAAAAGGGAAAAGUACAAGCACAUAUAGUGAGGAACUACAUAAAUGUCUAAAUCUUCAAUCACAUGAAAAUUCGUCAUUCCUUAAUUAUUCAUAGCAUAUAAAUAAUAAUAAGAUUGUACGGGUAGAGAACAAGAAAGAAACUUAGAGACAGACCUUGAAUCGGAGCGGUUGAUUGGCUUCGCGGUCAUUACAGUAAAUGGUGCGAAAAUUAGGCGCCUGAGGCUGGACACGGCCGAGUGUAACAGUACGAGACGGCGUUCGCCGGUGACGGCUCGAUGGCGGUUGCCCCAAUCUCGAUCGAGAAGCCCUAACCCUAUCCCAUCCCCUCAUCUUCUUGCCGAUCCAAACACCAGCAAAAUCAAAAUCGAGGGCCGACGAAUGUUUCUCAAUUCGAUAGACUUAGUUUCUCAAUACCUCGCCUUGACACUUGUCGAUUCAAAUUUCGUUCGUUAAAAGACAGAACCUCCUUGUAUGGACCAAGAAACAGAGAGGACCUCUGCCUCUUCCUUUUUUUUUUUUUUUUUUUUUACUUUGGCAGCUACGUCCUCGUUUAAUUGCUUUUUCGAUUUUUGUCCAACUGCCUGCCUUCUCUAUUUCGGUUUGUUUGGAUUUUAAAAUCAACCAACCAGAUAAUUUUAUAAACGCGUUAUUUGCCCUUUACAAAUUAUAUAAUUUACUAACUUGAAAUGCACUCUUCUUUCAACAACGCGAAAACCUAGCGCGUGAUUACACCUUUGUUACAUAUUUUGGGAGCGACUUCUUUGUGAUUGGGUGGAACCGAUAAACGUGGACGUUGACGAGUAGAGGUAAGCGGGAAAAUGGCUAAAGCGCCAGGGGGGACUCGUUCCCUUUAAAAGUUGAACGACGUCAUUUCUAUAAUAUUUUACCUCGUUGGUUCCACUGCUAGCGUGUGCGCCACGUAGGAAAUUUUUAGAACGUGUGUAUGUAGCGAUGGGAGAUGUGCAAAUGUGACCAAGUCCGUUUCCUCAAAGACUCUGUAGGACUGGCGUUGGCGUUGGUUUCCAUCACUGACUGACUAUCAUUGUUACCGAGAGCCCUCAAAUGAUCUAACUGUACCGUUAAUCUUUUUAAAAAAACUAUAUAUACCGUUAAAAACCUUAAAAUGUUGUUAUAAAAAUGUAUUUAUUAUAUAGUUUUUACCAAAACUAGUAAAAACAAUCACAAAAUGUAUUGUCGGCCAAGUAAGUAAUGCUAUUUACACAUACAUGACAAAUAGAUUUAAGAUACUUGUGGGGGAACCUUAGGUGCAACUGUGGCACCGUGCCAUAGUUGCAUCUAGCCGUUGGAUACUAAUGGACCUCACCACUCCAACUGCAUCCAACGGCUAGAUGCAACUGUGGCACGGUGCCACAGUUGCACCGUAGCGUGAUCCGAUACUUGUUAACAAAGAAAAAAAAAAAGUGAAUGAAUUUGGUUUUAGUCAAAUGUUUCUUGUCUUUCUGUAACCUUUUGCAAUGUUCUUUGUAAAUAGCAUUACUUGUCUGGAUCUUAUUCUAGAAAUGUACAUUGAAAAAUUGAUGGUGAGUAUAUGUGACAUUUUCAUGUCCUUGAUAAGGAUGGUUUUUUUUUAGAAGAACCUUGAUAAGGAUGUGAAUGAUGAGUUUAUUAAGGAUGAUUACUUUAAAAUUAGUAAGAGACUUUUUUUAUAGGCUUGAAUCUAUAUUAAAAAUAAAAAUAUAAAGAUAAAAGACGGUCAAGUGGGUGUAACCUAAAGUAUAAAAGUAAUUUGAAUCUUCCUAUAAAAAAAUUAUAAUACAAUCAAAAUAAUUUUAUGAAAAACACACAAAAACAUAAAAUUCAUCUAGUAAUGUUAAGCAAUGGUUGAUGGAAUAAAUUGUUUUUAUUGUACAGAUGAAAUAAAUAGUUCAUUGAAAAAGUAGUUCGGUGUUUAAUAAAUUAUAUUGUUAUAAAUCCUACAAAUUUUAAAAAGUAGAAUUAAAUUGGUAAGAUUAAAUUAUCUUUUAUUUGUAUAUAUACUUAUGAAAAAGAAAAACAAAAUUAUCUUUUCAUUAAAAUAUUAAAGUUAUAAUAAAAACUUUCAGCAGUUUAUUAAUAAAAUACUUAUAAAAAAUAACCCUCAUCUAUUUUAAAAAAAAUUGUUAAAAUAAAAAAAAUUAUGAAAUAAAUAAUUUUAAAAAAAUUUACUAAACAUUAUUUUUAGCAAAAGCUUAUAAAACAAACUUUUUAUAUGAUUUCAACCGCAAUCAGAAACAACAUCGGCAAAAAUGCUUUUUCCUCUUCCCAAGUCCCAUUUUUCUUUAUAGUAAAACAAGAUAGUCUUCUCAAUUCUGGCUUUACAACUACAAUUGAAAUGACAAGUGCCGCAACCUUAUCGCCAUUCAUCGUCAUCAACCUCUCAUCAGCCAAGCUUGAUCACUCCUCACCAUCGCCAACGGCAAAUCUCUCAUUUCACCACAAUCGCCACACCAACCAUAACAAAACCCUCAGCGAACUCUUCAUUUGUCAUGCCCAGGUCUACAUCUCUCUCUUUUCGUUAAUGAAACUAGUUCAUUGCUGCAUAUAUAUACAAUAGGGCUCUCAUGCAGACUACUGAGUGUGCGUGGAUAACAUGCUCGUUGUAAUCAUUCAGUUGAAUUAUGGUUCAGCUGGGGAAGACCCUGAUGAGAUUGGCGAAGCAUUUUUCGACGAAGGUGUUGAUGGUGGUGCAAUCAUGGAUGAUAUAAGUGAUGAUGAAGAUGACAUGGACAGCAGCGUGGACUUGUUGAUUAGAUUCUUACAGGCCACGUUCAAGAAAGUCUCGAAGCGUGCCAAGAAAGCCUCUCGCUCCAUCUUACCCGCUGCUAUAUCGCCCAAAUUGGUAUAUUUGUUCAUAAUUAGAAAUACGUUUCUUGUUACUAAUUUACACCUAAUCUUGUGACUCGUCUUCCUUUUUGAUGGAGCAUUCAGGUGUCUUUUGCAGUUGAUGGGAUUUUGCUCUUGGCUUCACUUUCCAUCCUCAAAGCGCUUCUUGAGGUAUAAUACCUUGUUCUGAGAAGUCAAGUCUCUAGGACAUUACAUGUGCAUGCUUGAUCAAAAAGAAUAUUUUAGGCUAUCAUCAUAAGUUAGAUUAGGCAAUUGUUCAACGUUCUGAAAUCACUUGACGUCAUUUUGUGAGAAUAUUUUAAUUUGCAAAGAAACAAGAGAGCAUCCUGAAGUGACAUUCUUUGGCCUUUGCUCCUGCAAAUUAAAGAAACACACAAUAAGUUGCUUUGGAGGCAGGCAGAGUCGCAGAUACUACUUUUUGUCAAAUUUGGUUGACAGUAGGAUAAGUGUAAUAAGGGAAACAACUGAUAUAUAGGGUGUCAAAUUUGUUUGCAGGUGGUCUGCUCUAUUGGGGGCACUGUGUUUGUCCUGAUUUUGCUUUUACGCUUCAUCUGGGCAGCCAUUUCCUAUUUCCAGUCAAGUGGAAACAGCUUCAACCAGGGAGGAAGCUCCUUUGCCGCGACAUAAUAAUCUCGAUGUUAGGUUGAUUUUUCUCUUUUGGAUUUCCUUACGGUACUAUCAGAAUGUUACUUCGAUAUUGUGCUGUGUGUAUGAGAUCACAAAAUGUGAAUGUAAAUAUGAAAAGUUUUUUUUCUGCGGGCUAGUUCGUUACAACUCUGUUGACGCAUUUUUUUUCUUGACAUAAAUGUCAUCUAGGAUCGUACCCAAGGUGAGUAAACAAACUGAAACAACCUAAGAACAUUUUACAAUGAAUUUAAAGUGUCCAAGAUCGACAAGCAAGGCAAAAGUUAUCAGACAACUGAUAAAAGCAAUAUCAAAGUAUCAGGAUAAUCCACAUUACACAUGGCACUAAGCAGCUUCAUUUAUUAAUUGAACACACCUUCAGUUUUAUAAUGAAUCCAGAUACCAAAUGUUAAUCAUUGGAGAUAUUUAAUAAGAAAACAUUCUUUUACAAGAGCAAUGAUCAUGAUUCAGAUUCUCCAAUGUUCUGUUCAUGUAUUAGUACAGUGUGGAGCCUACUAUAAAAUAUAUGGAGUAAAGAAUUCAUUGUCCAAUACAGAAGCAAGAAGUCUUCAGACAUCAAUCACAUGCUCCAUGCUUGAUUUGUGAAAUUGGGAACUUGGUUUCUUACAUGAAUGAUUUUGACAACAUUGAAGGAGGAAGCAUUGCCACUUAAUGCAUUAAUCUGUUAUUAACUGACAAGAAUUGUUCUAUCUUUUUAUGUCAUUCUUUCAAAACCGCCUCCAAUCUGCAUAUGCAACCAGUCGGGUGAUGUACCACGGCUGUAUUCUCUUGUAGCUUGAGAAACAAAUGGCAUGCCCGCAGUAUCAAAUGUUUGUUGAGUAAACUGAAAUUGUGAAAUGCAACAUUGCAUUGUCAGAUAAAUUAUGAGUUAAAAAAAUAAAAGUUAAAAACAAAAAUAAGCUUGGCCUUUAUAUAACAGUUUCAUUUUCUUAAUCUAACAUAAGCUUAGUCCUAUUUCAGGGUCUCGCCAGUAAGUCUUGCUCUCUUCUCCAUGCAUUAGCCAUAAUAAACAUGAUCUUAUAAUAACCAAGUGCUUAAAACAAUAAAAUGCUGAAUAAAAGUUAAAAAAGGUUAUAAAUAUUUCAUGUCAGUGGGAAACAGAAACUAACAGAAAAACAGUAACAUACAUGCCCAUUAACUCACUUGGUAGUGUGAGGUUCAUAUAGAAAUACAUGUUUUAUCCUAUCUGUGCUCUUUAAUUCUUCAGAGAAAUAAAUAAAAAAGAAAAAGAAAAGCAAAAAAGGGAAGACAAGGUACCAAAAUUCUGCAAACACAUCAUGAAAACAUGAUUUACCAUGAAAUCGACAACUAGGUUCUUGUCCCAACUACCAAGUGAAAAAAGAAAAAAUAAUUGGCAGCCACAACCCACAAAAAGGCCAGAAGUCAUACUCUUGGGGAGGCGGAAUUAACGGCGAAGGAAGGAGGUGGGCAUCAAUAUAAAUAAGGUUCAUGGGAACGAAAUAGUGGUCCCUGUUUAUUCAACAAACCUUAUCGCAACCCAUGCAUAGUUUGCCUUAUUAAUUACAAAACCAAAUCCACCAACCAUUUCCUAUAUAGAGUAAUAUUCAGUGUCUUCAGAUAAACAAUCCCUCCUAAAAUUGACAAUUUUCAAGUAGGUCCAUCCAACAAACAGAGAAGGAUGAUGAAUAUAUUGAGGUUUGGGACAUGUACCCAUAAGUUCAAGUGAACCAUCCUUGAAACAUUGAAACAGUAAGUGCAAUACAGAUAGCAUGAAAGAUGAGAGAGAGAGACAGAGAGAGAGAGAGAGAGAGAAUCAAAAUCAACACUGUCUAGAGUUCCUAUGUCAGGACUUACAUCUUUAGGAGGAAAUACCUCAAUGCCAGGGUUCAUUCUUGUAUUGACUGCUUCAAGCUUCAUUGACAGAAACUGCAAUGUCCAGUAAAUGUGGAGGCUCAAGCUCAAGAGAAAUAGAAAGAAAAUCUAUGAUCAAAAGCUAUAAAUCAAAGUUAAAAAUUUCACACCUCAACCUGCCGCUGUAGCGAUUGGAUGUAGUUAAUUAUCUCAUCCAGGACCAAUGCUUUGCCGAUGACCUGAAUUAAGAAAAUCUACCAUAGUAAACAGGAUGUAUAAUCAAAACUGAAGAGCAGUCCUGUCACUACCAGUUUAUGAUGUACACCAGAAAGUGCCAAACUCGUUGCAGACGAGUUAUCAAAUGAUUAAGAAGCAGAGAUAGGAAUUGAACUCCACCAAUUUGUUCUGUCGAGAAAUUUUUUGAACGAAAUAAGCAUGCUUGGUGCCAACAAAUUCAGGGAAAUGUCAAAUCCAUACCUUGUUACAACCAGGAACCAAGUCCUGGAGAAUUUUCAUCCUUUCGCUUAUCUUUUCUCUCCUAGCCUGUGCACCAAAUGGUUAAAAUAAGAAAACCUUUUGAAUAGCUCCAGAUAUCACUAGUUUCUAGAAAUUUUAAGACACACCAAACACAUAAAGAUUUUUCAUAAGCUUUGCUUAUUAUGAGUUUCAGAGGGCUGUGAAGAUUACUCUUUCUGCUAAACUGUGGCUAUCAGUAGCUUGGCCCCUUCUUGCUCGUACAUGGAUGUAAUCCUGUUUAGGAGGCUCCGGUGGUUGACUAUUUUGUUCAGCAGGCUUGACCGAACUGGGCUCUGCUUCAGCUUUGGAAUUGUGAUUGUCAUCUCUACUUCCAGAUGUUUUAAUCCGUUUUCCAUCAGAAUCAUUCUGCCCAAUUAAAAACACAACAUUGUCAUGAAAUCAAUACCAGUUCCCUAAAAUUUGAAUCCAUAGAGCUUAAUUUCACCACCAAGAACACAACCCAGGUCAAUAUACAGUUUCAUUGUCAAACCUCCAGAUGUCAUUCAUACUAAACCCAGUAAAUUAGCAAAAUCAGAACGGUGGCUUAGGUACAAGUCAAUUCACUGCCUUGGCCACCAAAUUAGAUCAAUUAUGAUCAUUAUUCAAUCCUGCACUUGUUCAACAUUCCUCAAUAGACAAGAUAGAAAUGCAUAUUCUAUCAAAACCAAGGUAAAAACUUUUCUAAUGAAGAAUUCAAGUAAUAAGAAUUAGUAAUCCAAAUAAACAUAAGAACCACAACUAUAAAUUUGAUCAGAUUCAACAAAUAAAUAAACAAGUAAAAAAACAAAUACCACUCGAUUGCCAUUGCCGUUGCCACUGCUUGUAGAUACAUGCUUGGCUGACUCAUCCUCCACAUCACGCCGCUUCCUUACUCCAUUCCCAUGGGCCAUUUUAUGCUCCAAGUUCACUGGAUCAUCACCAGAAACCUCUCGAUUAGUCCCAAAGUGAGCUCCUUUCUGCCCCAACCCACCUCCAGAUUCACUCAUACUGCCACUCCCGGGAACCGGAAACUGCCAGAUCUCUGCAAAAUUAUAGGAACCCUGAUCCAUCUACAAUAAUCUCACAGACAACACUCGAACUCAAGCACUCAUCAAACCAGGUCCUGGCAUUUAUUUGAGAAGAUUCAAGAAACACUAGCUCUGAUUCAAAAGGCUCAAUUUUUCUUGUCUGGAUAUGCUUAAACUUUCAAGAGUUGCUUUAGGAUGAAAGAAAUAAUAGAAGGAGCAAAUCUUUUAAAAUAAGCUUAGCAAUGACGACAAAUAGAGUAAUAGAUAAAUAAAAAAAGAUAAAUAAGAACAAGACAGAGAGUCUUUGAGUUAAAGUCUAAUCUAGAGAGUUAAGAGUCUUUGAUUUAAGUUUAAUCUAGAGAGUCAAGUAAGUGAAUGAGAGAUGUGUUUGAGAAUUGAGACUUGAGUUCCGAGUUUUAGUCUGUGUUUGUGCUUGUGCGCGUGAUUGUGAUCUCCUUAGACAGUGGAGUUUGGUGCGCACUGUGUUGCCUUAAGCUUUCCUUGCAGGGACACCUCGGGAGCUGCAAACAAAGUCACUUCCAGUGAGGUUUUUGUCCUGGGGUUCCAGCAGUACACAUGUCUCAAUCACGUGCACGCUCUCCCACCGUCCGAUUUGCUCAUCCUCUGGUCAAUGACAAAUCACAAUUCAUCAACGGUUGUUGAAGACGAGGAACACUAACUCAACAGUGAAGUGCGGGGCAGUUUCAAUGGGGUCACCGGUCACGUACCACCUUAGCGAGCGCAAGUACAUAUACAAUGUCAAAAUUUAAAAGGUGGGGUAGGGUUUUCCAUAUUGUGAUUAACGGAAAACAGAAAGUGAUUAGUCUUUGUAAUGAUUUGUGAUUGUGAUUAAUACUAAAGUUUCGACAUUAAUAAUGAUUGUUCUGAUCGUGAUACCUCUUCAAGUAUCGAUUUAUUGUAAAGUUAUGAAUAAUGAUGCUUAUAUUUUGGCAUAUGUUACGACUUUAUUUAGUCAUAAACCAAAGAUCUCCUGCAAAUUCCGUAUUAGCCAUGCAAUUUCUUUAAUGAGCAAGUUUCACCUAACUGUAUUAAUAUUAAUAAUAUUAACCGUAACUUAAAUUAACUUCAACGACCAUAUAGGGAAGAUUUAUAUUCAGUAAACUUUCAUUGUUAGGAUAAAAGCUGGUGACAGUAAAUUAAUCAAACCAAAUUCAAUUUUUUGCCUCGGUCUCGAAUUUCGAUUAUGAUUUACUUGUACCUACUCUAUGGCUCAGUAUGAAGUGAAGAAAAAGACACCCUCUUUUAUCUUCCUUCUUACUACAGCUUUCCAGGGAAACAAAUUUGAGAAAGUAUAAAGCAUUCUAGAAAAGUCAUUGCAUGCAACUUACAAAAUAUAAUACAUUUUUGGAACAAGUAACAUUUGUCGACGUUUCUCAUCAAGACCAUAAUUGGUAAUUCCACGUUCCAUAAUUUAAAACUCCGAAUUUCAAAUGGGCAUAUACCCCAAAAAGUAUGCCAUGUCAGCAGCACUAUUUGAUUCAAAACUUCCCUUUUCUCACGCGUAUGAAAAUGGCUUAGCAGCUGUCAUCGAUUUUCUUGUUUUUACUUGUACAUCACUUUCGGAAUUUGACAGGCCAGACGAUUGUACAUCAGUAGAUGCAAAUUGUAAUUGAGACUAAUUAAGGUUUAGGUGUCACUCAGCUUGGGUUGGGAUUAACAUUACCAGCCGACUGCCCAAUCAAAUCAACUAGCAGGAGUAGCCAAAAUCCUUUUAUGCAUAUGUGGGCUAUACAUUCAUGAUCGUACUAAUAAUAUUCUUUAAUAAAAUGUGUUGAAAUGUUUGCAGGCGAUAUAAUACAACCAACUAAUUAAGCUCUUAAUCAAUAUGAUUUCAACUUGCUCUAUUGGCCUGACCUACUUUGUUACCAUUGAAAAAAGCAUGUAUUUUCUUGUCAAACUGUGUGGUGCCAAACAGUGCCGUUUUCAUGUCAUAUAUAGUUAGGCAUAGAAGCACGACAUCAUAAAGAACGGUUCCAUUCUUGCUCAAAAAUAAUAGCAGAAGAUCAAAUCGUGCAGACAAUUUAUUGCAUCACAUGUUAGACUGCAACUUUAAUCGGUUUUGAUGUGCCGUAUCUAAUGAAAUAAAUAGUAACUAUAUCGGCAACUAGAGCUUUGUUUCAUAGCCGUGUGCUUGGUGCCAAACUCCCAUUUUUAGAUGAUAAAGAUUGUUGUUUUGCUUUAGACAUGUGCCGAUAAGGCUGCUAUAUCUGCAGUAGGAAUUCUUUGAUUCCUGCAAAACCCCAUGUGGGAAAUGCAUAGCUUGUGCGAAUUUCAUCACGUUUUAACAUGUCAUGUGCUAAUUUACUCCAAGGAGCAAUCCUUACACUCUGUCUAGGCUUCAAGUUGGAUUGGUUUCACAGAAGUAUAGAUAUGGCCUGCUAUUGCAUGCCGGCAGCACCAGAUGCUUCUGCAGUUAAAACUCUACUGAGAAAAAUAAGUUCACUUUAGUAAGCAGUGACUGAUCGAUUAUCAGUGAUAUUAAAUGAAUAAGAUAGAUUCAAAUUAAAUGAUAGAAAUCGAACUCUGAUCUGCAAUAAGAAAGGUUAGGUCCAGGCAACUGCUAACUGUCAAGUUUAUAAGCUUUUGGGUCACUAAACGUACGUUGCUGAGACUUUCAACUAUGAAUAAUUUAGUUAGUUCAGUUUUAGUUGGGUUUCUGACCAAUCGACCGAAAAUUUUACAAAGCUAGCUAAUCUGUAAAAAUAAUAAUUAGUUUGUGAACAGUGCAAGUCCCUAUUGUCUUUGCUUUCAAAUCACUAGAGAAAAAAAAUCUAAACUUUGAAGUCAUGAAAGAAUGGAAAUAAAUAUUUGUAGAGACAGGCUGCCAACUGCAAUAAUGGCGAAGAAGAUAAAGAAUGAACUCAAGGAACUAAGCUGGAUGCAACUUUAGCCAUAUGAGCAGAAUAACAUGACCCACAAACAAACCUAACUUAUUGGAAGACACUGCCCCACUUAAUGGACCCUCGUAAACCAAUUAUUUGAAGAUAAUGAUGGCUUUUUAGGGUAUCAUCGAUCAAAAUUCUGGAUCCUUCAACACGGUUUUGUUGAGCAAGAGCUAUCAACCUUGUCUAUUGACCAAUGGGAAAAUGUGAGGACAUACACCUUGCCUUGAUUUGCUUGGCUGGCUGUGAAUUGUGAGGGUACGAAGGAUAAGAAAUUUGGAAUAUGACUCCAAAAAAGUACUGCUUUUUUCUUUCUCAAGUUUGUGCUUUCUGUGAAUUAAUGCAGAACAAUCGGUACAGUUUAGAAUUAGGCAGGGGAGGACCAGAGCCAUAAUGUAUUUGUCUUGAGGCACCGCUCAAGCUAUCACUGUCUCAGUACUAUUUUCAUCAAUGUCCUCGGUAUUUACCUUAUUUAUUUUAAGUUGAGGUUCUUCUUGCCUUUUUAUUCAAAUAAAUCACAAGUGCUGCUCAACAGGUUGUAAUAAAAUUAAAGUGUUCCAUUGAUUUUGAAAAAGAAAAAAAAAAACAAAAAAAGCGUUUAGGCCUUUUUUUUUUUUUUAAUUCACACCAUGUUGGUUAGAUUUCUUUGAUUUAUCUUGAGAAAAAUAUAAAAUAGAAGGACAUUAUAUAUUAGAAAACCCUCGAGAAAAAUUAAGUUAAUUACUUUAUUUAUCUUAAAUUAAUUAUUGCACUAAAAUGUUUAAAAAAUGAUAAUGCUUUGUCUAUCUUUUAUUUCAGUCAUCAUAAUGAUAAGUAGUAUGAAGAUCAAUCCAUGUAUAACAUUAAAACUCUAAUAUUUUACAAUUGAUUUUGGCAAAGAAUUUAGAGCGAUAGAGAGACUCUAUAGAUUUUUAUCUAUUAAUCUCAUAAAUAAUUGUAGGAUAAAAUUUUAGCUUAGAAAACAUAAUUCCAAGACGCCCCUUGGGAUUGAAUAUUGUCUUUGGAUUAAAUGAUGGACCCAUCAUCUUUGCUUUUUUGUACCAAACUUGAGAUAAAGAUUAUUUUAUACUAAAAUUGUCUAAUCCCAUUAUUUUUAAUUAUAACCAAAUGGGCUUUUAUACUCUUUCUUCUUGUGGAAAAAAUCUUGAGUCUCCCAGAGUAUUAUAUAUUCUACUAAGGCAUUAUAAUUUACAAUAAAUGUGGCAAGAAAGCAGUGAAUGCAAUGACAAACCAAGACUUUUUAUUAUUUUAACCUAAUUAAUGGAUUUAUGGUAAUUAUUUAUGUGAAAAUUGAUUCAUGCAAAGGGGUAAUAUGUGUGUGUGUGUGUGCGCUCAUAUCAAGUAACGGCACAUCUAAAGUCUUAAUAAAAUACAUAUAUUUAAUAAAAGAAUAAUAACAAUAAAAAAAUGCUUAUAAUAUAAAUUAUCAAAACUGUAAAUUAAAAAAUUACUUAUCAAUUUUUUUUUUAUUUUAGUUAUAGAGAAUGUGAUAGAUCUUGAUAUUUUUAUUUAAUAAAAAUAAAAAUAACAAAUAUGACAAUGAGGGAAACAAACCAUGAAAUUAUGAAAAAUGUUGUUAAUUAUUAUUAUAUUAUUGCCCAAUAUUAUAGUUGUAAUUUAAGUCACAACUGAUGUGACAUUAAUCAAUUGAAUGGUAGAAUAGAGUAAUGAGUAAUUUUACAUUCAUCAUCCAAUAGAUGAGUAACACAUAAUAUUCACACUCAAUUUAUGACUCAAAUGUUGGGAUUUUUAGCAUUAUUACUUUAGUUAAAGUGGGUGAUUCCCCUCUUAUAAAAUUACUCAAAUAACAAUGUAAUAAUAUAUUGACAUAUAUUUCUUUUAAUUGGAUCAAAUCAUAAUUUUUUUAUAAUAAAUUAAGUUAGUACUAACACUUUAGCCUCCUAAUUAUUUUAAUUUAUUCAAUAAAUGUAUAAUUGAAUCAUUUUAUGUGAUAAGACACUAACUCUGACAUACCUGAAAAAUAAAAAAAAAAUUAUCUUCCAUUAUUGAAAAUUUAAAAAAAUUUAGGGGUAUAAAAUUUUUUUCUAGGACUACAACGCUGCAACAGCACAAACACGUUCUCAUUUCAAGAGAGGGGUUGGGGGUGGGGGGGUGUCCACUGUCCAGGUGGAAGGGGAAGAGCCACGUACGAUGUUUUCUUAGAAGGAAAAUGACGAUUUCAUGGGUCCAGCUGUUACAACAGUUCUACCAUGCAACUUCUUUUGUCUUUUGUGACAAAUUUUCAUAUAAACCCUUCAGUCACUUUUAUUUAACAUUUGUUUGAAAAGUAUUAAACUUAUUUCUACCUGAAUCCAUAGGUACAUAUCAGUUAGCACUUUAUACUAUAUCAUAUUUAUAUAAUUUUAUCCAAUAUUGUAUUUGUAUCACAAUACCUCUCCUUAUUUAUUUAUUUUCUUGAUAGACCUCUUUGCUAUUUUGAAAUUGAAUCAUUGGCAUGUUUAAUUUAAAAAAAAAUUAAUUUAUUUUUCUUACACUCCUUUUUAUUUUUUUUAAAUAUAAGUUUUUUUUUUUACAUCUACUAUCAAAUUUCAUUUAACACUUGUACGCUCUUUUUAUUUCAAUUUUUUUAUAAAUAUUAUGGUAUUUUUUUCUUACAUUCACAACAAAUUAUGUAACCCUAAUAGCUUCAUUACAAAAAAUAUUGUAAUUUUUCAUACUUAAUUUUUAUUAUGUUAUUUAAUCCUUUAAUUUUCUUUGUAAAUAAUAAAUCAUUAUCUCCAAAUGGGUGCUGAAUUAAUUUUAUGUAAUAUGGACUAACAUUAUAUUAUUAAAAAAAAUUGUUACUAUACGUGAAGAAUGUUAGCCUAUAUAGCUAUAGAUAUUGAUUUUGAUGAUAACAAACCGCAUGUAUUGAUUAAACAAAUAUUUAUGAAUUGUGCUUUUUUAAGAAAAUGAUGUUAUGGAAUUAAAGUAUUUUGGACUAAUAUGAAAGUAUUUUAAAACCUUUGAUAUUGUUUUAAAAUUAAGGAUUUGGACAUAUUUGAAACUAUUUAAAUAUUUUUGAGUCAUUCUAUAAUUCCACAUAAUUUAGGUGAAAUCAUAAUUUCAGAAAGUUUUGGGAUUGAUAAAGCAUUAUUUAUAAAUUAUGAAAUUGGAUCUAUUUGAAAGUUUUCAUAAUGUUUUGGGUCAUACUACAGUUUAUAAAAUUUUAGGGUCAAAUUAUAAAUUUAAAAAAUAUUUCACUGUAGCAGAUACUGUAGCAAGCGGCUUACCGGAUAUGGUAAACGGCAAACCGGAUUUUGGGCAAUAAGCCUCUGGAGCAUAAACGGCUUACUAGAUUUCGCAAGCGGCAAUCCGGAUUUCAAAAGCGGCUUACCGGAUAUGAAAAGUGGCAUGCCGGAUAUUCAGAAAUUCAAAUUUUUGCCUUAACGGUAACAUAAAAGCGGCUUACCGAAUUCUUAAACGGCAAACCGGUUACGACCAAAAUGUGCAUAACGGCUAAUUUUUUAGCUUAAACUAUAUAAACUCAAAUCCAACUCAUUUUCAAGUCCCUUAGCAAGCAAAAACAAAAAGCACACGAAAUAUCUUGAGCUCUCAAUUCGCAAAUCACAAAAACAUUGAUUCAUCUCUUGUUCUUCUUUUUUGAAUAUCUACUCUUUGAGUGAGUUUUAUUGUAACUUUCAUUUCUUCAUCUUAAUUGUAAGAGUUUGAGUGUGUGAGACACUUGAGUGAAGAGAUUGAGAGAUAAUCUCUUUGUUGUAAAGGUUUAUUGACACCUUGAAGUCAAUUGUAAACGGUUGAAGCAUUGGAAAGGCUCGGAUAGUGAAAUCCUCAAGUUUGGAUCGCUUGGAGGCGUGAAUGUAGGCGGGGAUUACCGAACCACGUAAAAAUUCCUAUGUUUGUUUCUCUUCUUCCUUAUUCAUUUGUUAUUGUGCUUUUAUUUAACUUAUUGCUUUCAAUUUUUAUUAAGAUAUUAGAUUGCUUGUUGUGUGGAUUUGUUAGGAUAGUUUUUAAAAUUCUAAUUCACCCCCCCUUUUUUACAUCUACUAUCAAAUUUCAUUUAACACUUUUACGCUCUUUUUAUUUCAAUUUUUUUUAUAAAUAUUAUGGUAUUUUUUUCUUACAUUCACAACAAAUUAUGUAACCCUAAUAGCUUCAUUACAAAAAAUAUUGUAAUUUUUCAUACUUAAUUUUUAUUAUGUUAUUUAAUCCUUUAAUUUGCUUUGUAAAUAAUAAAUCAUUAUCUCCAAAUGGGUGCUGAAUUAAUUUUAUGUAAUAUGGACUGACAUUAUAUUAUUAAAAAAUUUUGUUACUAUAUGUGAAGGAUAAUUUUUUUUUACUAAAUUAUAGUUUGAUACAGCCUAAUGUGAUAAAAAAUAAUACAAUACAACCUAGUGCAACAAAUAAUGACAAACCAAAUGCACCCAUAAAAUAAUAAUACUUGAAAUAAAUAAUAUGAUAAAAAUAAGAGUAAGAAAAAUUAUAAUACUUUUUGUAAUAGAACUUUUGGAAUUACAUAAUUUGUUAUGUAUGUAAGUAAAAAGUACUAUAUAUAAUAUUUAUUAAAAAAUUCAUAAUAAAAAGAAUAUAAAGUGUUAAAUGAAAUUUGAUAAUAAAUUUUAAAAAAAUUCUAAUAUUAAAAUAAAAAAGAAUUUAAGAUUCUAAAUCAAACAUGCCAAUUAUUCAAUCUCAAAAUAGAAAACCCACGUACACUGGAUACCGUUGUAAGUUGAACUUUUACCAAGCCCCCACAUGGCGGGAAAAUUUGUUUCCAAAAUUAUAUUUCGGGCACCACCGGAGGAUACAUGAACGUUUAAAUAAUGAUAGUAAAUUGAACUAGUAAAAUGGAAGUAAUCUUCAACAAGUAACAAAAUAGAAUUCACUGAAUAAUUCACAGUAAGAAAAAAAAAUGGAGCUGCUGAGAUUGUCCAAAUUCAAGUUCCAACUUCAAGCCCUAAUAGCCGAAACUCGUCAUCUCAAAGUAAGCUUUCGCGUCACAGUUGCGACCAUAAUCAUCUAUGUUAUUAUUAUCAUCAUCAUCAUCAUUAUGUCCUUUUUAACUGUUUUCUUUGAAAUAUUAGGAGAAAGAAAACUCAGCAACCGAAGAAAUUCAUCUUUUAGUCCAGGUUAAGUGUCGAGAUUUUUCUUAUUUGUUUGAUUUCGUUUCGUUGAAAGUUGACUCCAGUGUUUGAAUACAGAAACAAAAGCGUAAUGAAGAAGAAUAUUCUAGAAACUUAAAGGAAUUGCAAUCCGAAUUAGCUUCGACUAAUGAACUGUGCCAAAAACUCGAAAGGAAGGUCUGUCAAUUGGGCACUCAACCUGUUUGUAAAAAUAAUAGACAGAGAUGUUUGGAAAUGCAGUCAUUUGAUUUUCUUGCUGUAGGUAAGUUACCUUCAAAACGACAACGCUUUGCUUGAAAACAAGCAAAAGGAGUUGAAGGAAACUAUAAAUAGGCUGCUUCAAUAUAGGGAAAAUUUCCUAAGUGCUUAUGAGGUUUGUGCUUAAUAAUCAUUAUAUUAAUUUUAUUGUCAUGUUUUUACAUACUGGAGAACUUGAAAUGCAUGUUCCGGUGAAACGGCUGAAUUAUAUGAAUUUAUGGCCGCUAAUUAAUCAUAUUGUAUGUGAGGUUUUAAAAUAUCCUUAACGAGAUGACUGUGAUAGAGUUUGAUUAUCCAGGGACUAGAGAUGUUGAUUGAUCAUCUAAAUUAACUGCUUUCACUUGCGUGUAUCUUUGUGAGUACUACUUUUGGAUGUUGGUGGUACUUGUGACUGCCCAAAUGUUUGGGAAGUAAUUCGAUUUUGGUUUUGUGAUAUGCCAAGCAUGUAAGGGGUAGGUUAGCAAUGAUUAAAGUAUUUUCUGUUCUUCUGAUUCCAUUAUCUAGAGGAUUCAUCUUAAGUGUAUUCUGAUGUAAAUGUUUUGAGCAGGAAUCUACCUGUGAUAUGAAACGUGCGAUUGAAACCAGGGAUAGAAAGCUCACUGUACUACAUGAGAAGAUAAACUCUCAUUUGACGUUAUUUGAUUCAAUAGAAAAGGAGGCAUUCUCCAUCAAGCAAGUUGUGGAUAAUGUGGAAUGCGUUGUAAGUGAAAAAGAAGAACUAGGCAUGUAGCUUUUUUAACUAUUACUGAUUUAAGGUGUACGCUCAUGUAUAUUUAUCAUAGACUGUUUUAUUCCACAAAAAUGGCAGUAUAACGUAUGUUUUGUGCUCUUUGCUAUUUCAGUUGCUAGCUUAAGGAGCAAAAUGGACACUAUCUCUGCAUUUGAAAGAGUUUUUGUUGGUAAUUCAUAGAUCCCAUCACCUGCUGUGGUUAGCUUUUCUUCUAAUAAAAAUGUUUAGCUGUUACUUCUGCUCUUCUGUAUUUAUAGUUAAUCUCUUAUGGGACUCUUCAGUGAUGCACUGAUGCUUGUCGGUCAUUCAUAUAGUUAUUGGAUGGAAUGUGAGCUUGCAGACCAUAAUUUUUUAUUCCUCAUAAUAUUUUGUCAUGCCACACCAGAGCAUUGGUUUCACUUAAAUUUAUUGACAUUAAACAUGAAUUAGUAAGGAAUUAGGGACAGUAAAGAUUCAAUAAUUCAAAUAUAAACAUAAGUACUGUAAAUAAGUGAUCAUUUUCAUAAUAAAAUAUUCCAAAAUAUGCCAUUGCCAUACUACUUUCAUGAAUUAUUGAUGUGGGAUUUGCUCUAUUUCCUAUAGAAAAGAUCCGUCUCCUGGAAAGUAAGCUGAAGAAUGAUGAGGACGAGUUUAGAAGAAAAGAUAAAAUUAUUUCAGAAUUAGAAGCACAGCUGGAGGCAACAAAAUUUAUUAAUAACCAUCAAACUCAAAUUGAAGAGAUAUCCAGACAGGCCUUGAACAUCUAUAUGUUUUUCAUUUCUAAAAUCAAGUUGCAAUUUCAGAUAAGGAUCUUUCUUAUUACCUUGUCAUCUUAACAAGCCUUACCUUCAGAAAACUCUAUCAGCAAAGGAUGUGGUUAUACAGAAUCUAAUAUCUGAGAAAGAGGUCUAGAUUUAAAAUCGCCGUCUCUUUGUUGGAUUUCAGAAUGUUUAUGUUUAUUGAUUUACAAAUUUCUCUCAAAAUACUUCAUAAACAGGCAUUGCAUUUGGAAGUGGGGAAGUUAGGAAUUAUCUUGCAGAGAAUUCAGGAUGCUAUUGCCACUAUGAAUCAAGAGGUCAGAGAUUUAAAUUAUGAUAUUCAGUAUUAUAGUCUUUAAAUUAACAACUGAUGCAAGUUAUUUCUGGUUUAACAUCCUAAAAAUGAGUUUUUGCCUUUAUGCCUUUGACAUUUCAUUAAUAUAUUCUUGAUAUUGUCUCCUACUGAAGCACCUUAUAUUUUUAAAAACUUUAUCUUUCAAUAAAUUUCUCUGUUACUCAUUUGCUUGCUUUUGUGAAAUACCAAUGGUUUCUAACAGGAUAAUAAUGCAUUCCACACAGCACUAAUGCUUAAAGAAAAUUGCAAUGACAUUGGGACAGUAAAUGAAGAUACCAGGUAGACGAAUAUGCUUCUAAUUGAUAUUUGUAGUUCAAGUGAUGGAAUACUUUCCAAUAGACGUUUUUGAAUGUGUUUAAUGGAACUUGACAUUAAAACCAUUAUUGUAUGUCUUGGGUAGUUGUCUGAUGAGCAGAGUGCCAGAUUUUAAAACAGUCAUGACCAUUACUAUCAUUUUCAUCCAUAUGAGACUGUUCUUGUGUGUGCAAUUAUGCCCGUGCUCAUAUUUAGUUGCUUGCAUUGUAUUUCCCAUUUUUCCAUUACGUUAUGAACUUUAAUGUUUUGUAGUUAAGGAAGAGUAUGCCUGUUGGAUUUUCCAGAAUCAUGCUGGAAUAUAGUUUUUACUUUUUUGCAUUUUUGCAUUUGUAGUGUUGCAUAAACUGUAGUGUCACAAGUGAAUUCCAGUCAGAGAUGCCAAAAUAAUGCCACUUCUCCUUUGUGUAUUAUUUUUUGUUGUAAUGCAAUUCAUGUUAUAGAUGGCUUGACAGGGUUAAAGAUGCAAAUCAUAAUGGUGGAGAAAGAUCACCAAGUAAGGCAUCCAGUUUAACAGCUCCAGAAAAUAGAGGUUUGCCUUUCCUUCAUGUGUUGUUUCACUGUUAUAGGGCUUAGUCAUAAAGGAAUAACUUACAAACAGUUCAUCUCUGGUAUUUAAUCAUAGACCUGUAUGUGCAUGGCAUAUUUGCAAUUUGAAAGAGAAAGGAAAUUGUGGAAAAGACAACAUGAGCUUGCUGAUGUCAUAGCAGUAAAACCAGUUUAUGUAGUUAUCCAGGGGAAACAUUGGUUAAUGUCAUUUUGUCUCAUUUUGUCUCUUUGUGCAAUGAAUCCUGUUCCAUUUGAUAGGGUUAACACCUGUAACUAAGCAAACACCAUAAUCUAUAUUCUUGUUUCCUUUCUGGAGACAGAAUCUCAUAAUUGAUUUCAGUUAUUUUGAAAUCAGUGGAUUAUAGAGUCCAUUCUUUUCCUUAUAAGUUGCAGUCAGAAACUUAGUACUUUAGGAUUGAGGUAGCUUCCAGGAUGAUAUAGCCAAUUGAAUCCAAGAUUUUUGGAUGCUUGAAUGAAGAAAAAUACAUACGCACACACAGGCUUUUUUAUAUUUCUCAUCUUUGUACCAAGUAUGGAUUCGAAAUUUGUGAUACAUCUCCUUUACGGUCUCUUUUUUUGGGGGGGCGUUGCUUGAAUUUGAAAUUCAGCUUCACCUCUAUGUCAGAAGCAUAUAGCUCUUGGCAGCCAGUUUCGGGAGAACAAUAAUUUCAGUUCUUGUGUGCCAGAAGUAAGUAGAUUGUAUUCUUAUUAAUUGCACAUUUAAUUGGUUACAUGCUGAAAGACAAACGUAAUGAUUGUUUACUAAAUGUUUCAUUUACAGUUAGCUGGUUCACUCCAAGACCCAGAGUCAGAUUCUUCAGAACAACAAUCCUCCACUAAUAUAUUGAUGAGCAUCUCUGCAAAAGAUGUGAAGGUAUGAGAUACUGCCAUCUACUUGCUAAACUAGAUGUUUGGUAAUUUGUUGGGGUGAAAUCCUUUUUGUCACUUUGAUGCUGGAAAUGAUUGACUUAUCAAGUUGCUCCCAGGUAGUUGCAUAACAUCAAGAAAUUGCUUCAAAGAUAAUGUUGAUGGAAUCUCCCAAUAGCAUAAUAAUUCCUGUUAAGCAAUUUGCCUAACUCUGUAUUUCCUUUUAUUUGUAGGACACCUGUGUAGUUUCAGCGCACCACCCAGAUUCGGAGUGCUCAAUGACCCAAGCAGAAACCUCAAAAGAAUCCAGGUUAAAUUCUAAUGCAGCAUUUCAAUUUCAUUUUUGAAUGCUAGCUUUGAUAGCAACAUAUUCCUAUUGGAUUUGAGCUGAUUGUGUACGUUGACCACCAUUUGGCACCAUUAUUUUUCUGAAAGAACGUUUUUUAUGCCUUUUUUUUUAAUUUUAUUUGUCAAAGUUAAGCAUAUUUCGGUAGCACCAAAUAUCCUUCUCACCUCUAGAAUUAAAUUCCAAUUCCACAACAGUGAAAGUUGAGCUGGAGACCUUUUUUUUUUUUUUUUAAUUGAGUGUUGCUAAACGUCGGGAAGGCUGAGAGAACCCUGAGAGAAACGGCAGCUUGUGCUGCCGUUUUGUUCUCUCGCCUCCCUCCCCACGUGACUAGGAGAAAUGAGUAAUGCCUUUGGCCCCCCACGUGAAAAAGCAAUUGUAAAUAUCAGUUUUUUCCUUCUCUUUCACAACUUUUUGAAAUGCUCAACAAAAAGCAGGAGUAGGCCCCACAUGAAAGUCACUUUUGCCAAGUUUUCUCUCCCCCACGUGAAAGUCACUCAAUCACCAAAGCUCACUCCAUUAGCUCAUGACCAAGCUAAGUUUUCUUUCCAAUCGCUUGCUCGUUCUUCUCUCCAAUCACUUGGGCCAAAGUGAAAAUAGAAAGGAGCUGUGAAAGAGAAAAAGGAAAAGUUGAUAUGAGUGUUAAUACGCUUGCUUUUUCACGUGCGGGCCGGGGGCAUUACUCAUUGAGUGUUAUGAAAAGUGUUGGUCACGUGGGGGGGGGGGGGAGAACGAAACGGCAGCACAAGCUCUCAGGGUUCUCUCAGCCUUCUCGACGUUUAGCAUUUUCCUAGGAGAAACGGCAGCUUGUGCUGCCGUUUCGUUCUCCUCCCCCCCCCCCCCCCCCCCACGUGACCAACACUUUUCAUAGCACUCAAUGAGUAAUGCCCUCGGCCCCCACAUGAAAAAGCAAGCGUAUUAACACUCAUAUAAACUUUUCCUUCUUCUCUUUCACAACUCCUUUCUAUUUUCACUUUGGCCCCCACAUGAACUCUAACUCUUUUUCCUUUUGUUCAUCAUUUUCCCCCACGUGAAAACGAGUUUCCUCUCACUCCCCUUCCCCCCUCGCUCUGUUUUUUCUCUCACUCCAGCAGCAGCUUCGUCUUAGCCUUCCUGACGGUAUAACAGUUUGUGAUGAACUACUCUGCCUGUGAUGAGAAGUGAACGAGCAAGUGAUUCGAGAGAAGAACGAGUAAGUGAUUGGAGAGAAAACUUAGCUUGGUCAUAAGCUAAUAGAGUGAGCUUUGGUGCUUGAGUGACUUUCACGUGGGGGAGAGAAAACUUGGCAAAAGUGACUUUCAUGUGGGACCUACUCCUGCUUUUUGUUGAGCAUUUCAGAAAGUUGUGAAAGAAAAGGAAAAAAUUAAUAUUUACGUUUGUUUUUUCACGUGGGGGGCUAGUGGCAUUACUCAUUUCUCUUAGUCAUGUGGGGGGGGGGGGGAGGCGAGAGAACGAAACGGCAGCACAAGCUGUCGUUUCUCUCAGGGUUCUCACAGUCUUCCCGACGUUUAGCAGCACUCUUUUUAAUUUUAGUGUUCAAGAGAUAGACUGAAGAGAUUUUUUUUUGGAGUAGUUUCAACGCUUGAACCAUCCUGAUCGAUUCUUAUUUCGUAGCCAGGGGUAGGGCGGUAGGCACACAAGACUCAAUUUUUCUUUUAAAGCUAAUUUACAAUCCUAGCCGACAUUGUCCUUAUUGCAAUUGAACGAAUGGUGUAAAAGUCAAGCGGACGUGUAUAAAAUAAUUAGGUGAACAGUCAAUUAUAUCAAUCUAGUCAAUUUUGGGAAAGGAAUCAACGGCAGGUUCUAAAAUGCCUGUUAAAGUCACACCCUAUGAAGAAAAAACUUCCAACUUCUGCUGAGGGACGUUGGUGUGUUUUUUUUCCUCUCUUUUUAUUGCGGUUCAUAGUGGAUUUUUUUGGCACAAAUCUAUGGCUUAAAUUCAAUUUUGAUGGAUCCUAUUGUGCGUUAAGAAUAAUUUCAUCAGAAGAUUUUUUUAUUUUUUAGAUAAUAUUUGAUUAUUUAAUAGAUAAAUAUUAUAUCAAUUAGAACUCUGGGAUACUUAACAAUACUUUUCUAUAAAAAUAAAAAAAACAUAGUGUUUUCCUUGGCUAUAUUCAAAAUGUAUUUAUACCAGUCUUUUAUCGUCCACAAUUUUCAAUACGAUGAAAAGCUGUGCAAGGUCGGCCAAUGGAAACAAAUUGCGGCUGGCAAUUGGUUUUGGGCCUAAUAGUAUUAUUCAUUUUUCAGCUUAACAUGAACGGCACGCUAAUGUGAAUGUGACCAAUCCUCCAACAUCAAUUAAUGGAGUGGUUCCUAGAUCAUCAUCUACCUACAGUUUUCUAUGCAUUCAAUUUGAGAAGUCUUCUUCCUUGAUCUGUGCAGUCUUGAUUUUCUUAUCUUUCUGGGUAAACCAAAAACAAAAUACAUUAAACGACGCCGAGCAGCAACAUGGCAGCCACGAUGCGUUCAAGAAAAUGAUAAAUGAAGACAACAUCAAACACGAUUUCAGAAAUCCCUAGAUAUGCAUUUUUCAUGCUUGUAGUCUAAGUCAUGUAAAAUUAAGAGUGCGGUUUAGCUAAUGUGUAUAUAGUACUGACAAAAUAAUACGACAAAGAGGAUUAGCCGAAGAAGCGUAUGAUAAACAAACAAGUGCAAGAAGAAAAUUAAGAAACCCAGCCCGUGCAGCAAUCGAUGGUGUGUAGACCCACACCCACCGAAUGCUGCUUCGGCUUUGGUGGCCUCACAGCUCAUUCAAUGCUCAUCUUAUUAUUAAUUGAUUUAAUGUGGCCACAUAAGAAAGCAAUAAUCAUUCAUUAGCUCGCUAAAGACUCGGCAGAAUAACGCAAAAGAUCCGCGGAAUCCUAUAUUGAAAACGACAGCGCUUACACUAAUGGAUAUUAAAAAUGGCAAGAGAUCCCUCACGUAAUGAUGUGAAUUAUAUCAAAUAAAUAACAAGUUGGAUCAAGCAAAUAUAACUUAAUUUGAUUGGUGUUAGUUUAUGGUUAAUGUAACUUACUUCAUUAAAUAAAAGAUCAAGAUCAUUCAAAGAAAUGUCGUCUACUUUUUACUUUGCUAGGCAAAUUACUGUCUUUUGGCUCUUUCAAACAAUCAAAAUAAGAGUUUUAUAUAUAUCUAUAUGUAUGUAUGUGUGUAUGUAUAUAUAUAUGUGUAUAUAUAUAUAUAUAUAUAUAUAUAUAUAUAUAUAUAUAUAUAUAACUUGAGCGUAAACCCAAACGAUCGUUUAGUUGAUAAAAAACUAACCAAAAAGUAACAAGAUGGGGCCAAGGGUGGCUCCCUCUUAGCUUUUGCUACAACUUAACUUGAGCGUUGUCACAAAUAGUUCAGUUGAUAAAACACUCAACGAAUUCAUGAUACACUCAUUAUUCGCUGUUAGACCUUGAUCAAAGUUAAUCAAUCAAGAUUCCCCAAGAUUAACUAAACGCUCUGAUGUUUUGAUUAAGAAAUGCAAAGCAAACACACAUGAAAGAUAAACGAAACCAGAAAGAACAGUAAUCAACAGAGAAUGGAGUUAUAGUGGUUCGGCUUGGAGAUAGCCUACAUCCACUGAAGAACAGAGCAACAAUCUUUAUUCAAUCACCAGGAACAAGAUACAAGCUUUAAGAUGAAGUUACAAGCAACACACACAUUGAUUCCGCAUCACUUAAGGCUAUAUAUACAUGCUUAAGUGAGCCCAGAAAAUUACCCCCACCAGUCAGCUCUCCUUUUUCAAUCAAACCCAGAUCUUCCCGCUCUUGUAACAGAACUUAACGACCUUCAGAGCCACGUGUUUGCUUCACGUUAAAUGGAGACUCUAAAACGGCACUCAGCAAAGUCGUAUAGAUAAGUGAAAGCAUGUGAUGGCCACGUGCUUUACUUACUCUCAGAUGAAUGAAUGAACAUCUUGUCAUACGGCUUUGAAAGAUUUUAACCGACCAGUCAUAUUCUGUUCCAAUCACGAACUGACAUGUCGUAUGAAUUUCUGGAAACCAGUUUCAGAGCUCACACUUCAACAUUCGCAUUUCAAAUGAAAUUAUAUUUUUCAUGUGAGAAAAUAAAGAAGAAGGCGGGAGAUGCAUCAAAAUAGAAGCUACAAAUGCAUAAAAAAAGAAAAUUAAUGAUAGAGAAUUCACUUCAACCUCACAUUAAUUCCUCUUAGGAAUAAAUAAAAUUUGACUAGAAUUUAAAUUGAUAACAAAAUUGUCCUAAAUAUUUAACUCAGGGAGAUUUGUUGGGGUAGGGUCCAUAUCAGUUUUCAAAGAAGGGAGCUAAAUAAUGUCACCUGCUAUAAAGAUAUUGACAAAAUGACAUUAAUGUAGCAGCAAAAUGACAUUAAUUGGCUUAUAAAAAAAAUGACAUUAAUUGGACAUGCAACCCGUCAGAUUCGGGGGGUCCCCCUACUCCCUGACCUAAAAAAUGUAGACCACCUUGAAAAUGAAAAUGAAUUAUUUUACUCUCACAGUCAUUUUUGCUGGCUGUUAAGUCUCACUGUCUAUACAAUCUAUCAAUGGCUUUGUGUUAUGUGUGUAUCUUAUUCUUAUUAGAAUCAUUCACUGAUUUGCAUGGAAUUGGGAACACGUAAAAAUUUGAUCGAUGGUUCCAUUUGCAGCCGUAGCUGUACAAGAGGGAUCUGAAUUUCGAUCUCUGAUCUUUCACUAAAUUGAAUGCCACAUUGUAGCAGAAGGGGUCCCAUACCAAUUCAUGCGCAACGAAUUCGUCGUUAUUGUUCUGUCUUCUGUCUCACAUUUAUUGUCCAUCAAUUGUGAAUGAACAGUGGGUUCAUGUUUGAUUUCUUGUCUUGAUAUUCAUGGACUGUCCGAUCCUUAAUUAAAGCAAGAUUUACAGCUUCAAGGCUUCAACAACAUUUUCUUUUCCUAACAUUUUGUCCUGUAAUUUUGAGCAAGAGAAAUGAAAGAAUACCUCUUUCAAAUGCUACCUCUUUGUAGAUUUGUUCUUUUGAUUCAUCAAGAAUGAAACUGAAAUUCGCGAGAGAAUCUGAUUAUUUUCAGAUUACAAGAUUUCGUUGAUUUAAUGAUAAAUUAUAAAUGAGUUAAAAUGUAUUUUAGCGAGUGUCCUGUCAAGCUUAUCUUCUUCACUCGUGAGUGUGUGUCUGGUGCCAGUUGGCCUUUGUUUUCCAAUCAUUUUUGGCACUUCUUACCAAAGAAUUAUUUUCUGUGAUAGGGACAUAUGAAAAGUUCAGAUAACGGUCGUAAAAUUAUUUUCACACGUAGAAUACCGAAAAAACAAAAUAAAAGUAUUCUAUUGAACGCAAGUAUGAAAAAGAGAAUCCCAGAUCUUGUUUUAUUUCUUUCUUGAAGGCCAAAAUUACUUUUGGGGAUUUGGUGGUUGAAUGCUGGGGAAAAAAAAAAAAAAAGAACAAUUAUCAACAGAAGUUUCAAAAGCGCUAAAAAGUUGAUCAGUGGCCUAAAAUUUGACAAAUACAGUACAUUCUUCAGAUUUUAGGUAACGUUAGGUAAAAUAUCGUUUCCCGCAAUCACUGCACUUUUCUCUUCUCCCAUCAUCAACUUAAAAAAUCUUUUAAUUAUUUUAUAUCGCAUUUUGAGUUCUUCUACAAUAAUGAUAGUAUAUAUAUAUAUAUAUAUAUAUAUAUAUAUAUAUAUAUUACGUCAGCAUCAGCUGUUUGCCAACAAAUCACAUCGUAAGUGCAGAAUUGGCCGACCUCAUCUCAUGCUCAUUGUGGAUUCACUCUAAUGGGAAAAUCGUACCCACAAAUUUGGACAGUCCUUUUUUGCAACUGGACUCGUCGCAUUCUCAUCUUAUAUUCAUCAAAUUCAUACACACGGCGUUGCGACUGAUUCACGUGUGCCGUAGAAGCAGAAACUGGUCCACGAAGCUGAGGGCACGAUGUGGGCUAACCACGUUCAGACACGUGGCAGUUUCACUUUCAUCAGGUGGGGUCCCACUAUCAGUUUCUGUAAGAUAAUUAGAGAUCAGAUGCCUUACCUCUACGCGGGCAAUAAACAACCAAAACUGCCGUCACUUUGUGUCUUUCUUCAUUGUUGUUUUUUUAUACUUAUGGGAAAAAAACUAAUAAUACGCACAUCGCAUACAAUAAUAGAAUUAAAUUUGAAAAAAAAAAAAGAAAACUUUUGCUUGAAGAGUUGUUAAUAAAAAUAAUAAUAAAGUAUAAAAACUAUUGGAACAACUAGGGAAGUGAAGGAAUGGUAGUUUGUUGGCGUUAAAUCUAUCUCAAUUUUUAUCUCUGUCUACAGAGUUCUUAUUCUUGUUCACUUUCUGUCUUUCGAAAAAACAAAAGAAGAAACGAAAAACAUCUUUUACGAAGAAGAAGAAGAUGGUGAUUUGAUGAUUGAUCUUUAAAAACAGAAAGAGAGAGAGAGAGAGGGGACAAUUAUGGGAGCUUGUGUGUCAACGCCACGGGGGUGCGUUGGUGGGAGAUCGAGCUCUUCAAAGAAGAAGAAGAAGAAAAGCUUCAAAAGAGUAGCAUCUCGUUUGCCCACCGAUGGAUCAUUGGAUAAAGUUGAUAGGCCUCCACCGGUUGAUCGUCAUUCAUCUUUCACAAAUCCUGCUCUUCAAGGUCAUUUAUUUUAUCUUUUUCCUUCUAUGUUUAUUGGUUUUCAAAUGAAAGUUCUUCUACCCCUCACCACCCCACCCCCCCAAUCCCACCUUUUGGGUUUGAAAUGUGAUUAUGCAGUUGUAUUGUUUGAUUGAUUUGUUUGGUGGGUGUUGGUGAUUCUUUGGUCUUCGCUUAUUUAUUCAUUUAUUUAUUUUUGUGUGCGUCAUUUCGAUUUGGAUUCUGGGUUGUAGAGGUUUUGUGAAAAUAUAAGCUUGUGGCAUAGAAAUGAGGAGUGUUUGGGAAACUGCCCUUUCAUAUUAUACAUACUUAUAUUUUAAAUGAGUCUGUCUUUGGUGAAUGUGAUCAUAAAGGGGAACUCUUCAUUUGAAGUAACGUGGUUGAUAUCUUUUAUUGGUUGAUUGGAAUAUUCUAGCUGAUCCGUGUGCAAAGCAAGUUUUUGUUUAUGUGGGGUUUUUCUGUGUGGUUAAAUUUUUGAUAGUGUAGAUAAUAUGAGCUGAAAAUUGAAUUUUUCAUUUUUGCUGGUGAUGAAAGAGAAUGUAGUUGAUGAAAGGAGGGUGGACUGUAUUUCAGUAUAAUCACCAGAGGACUUUUCCGCUGUUUCUUUUCAGGACAUUUUAAAGAGUCUUUAAUAAUUUGUAUAUAAUUUUUAUUUGUGGGGUGAUUAAAGAAUGGGGACAGAUCUUUAGCAGAUGGAAAUUAGUCAGUUUGCAGUUUGUUUUGGGAUACAGCUGCUUAGCUGAGUUGUUGUUACAUGUUGGUGACUGAAACCAAGCUGUUUUCCUAAUUGCGGAAGUUCAUUUCAAAUGUCCUUGAUUGGCAUUAUUGUAUGUCUUCAUUAUGUUUGGUCAUAGUUUAGCCAUGAGAAACUGUAUUUCUACUAUUGAUUUUUUUCCAUUUUCAAAGAGAAAGGGCUAGCCUGGCUUUAGAAAUGUAUUGUAACUAUAUUAUGGUGAUGGCUUCUCUAGUGAUGAGUCAUUGGUAGGACCAUAAAUAUGUUUAUAUUGGAUACUUAUGGGGGGAAUCACUUAUUAGAUCUUUUAGUUUGUUAUGUUAUUGCAUUGUCCUGCCUCAUGAAAUUACCUCCUUUAGAUUAUUGAUGGGUAACCAUCAUCAGGAAUUAUCCACUGCUGCUUUGAGUUUUUUGCUUCAGUUUAUUUUUUAACUUGUUGGAACUGCUACUGUGGUACCACAGAAAAUUCUGUUAUCCUACAAUUUUGGAAGUAUCUUAUGAUUUGCUUUUCUGUGAAUUAUUUUACUCUGUCCUUUUUUCUUAAUUUUUCCCCUUACAAUCUUCAAUUAGAAAUAACUCUUUGUCUAUGAACUGUUAUAUUAUUUUUUCUAGGUUCUUGGUUCUAGUGAAACAUAUGUUUUUCGUAACAGUUCUGCUUGAUAUAGUUGUUUAACUUAUUUGAUGCUGUCUUGAUUAUUAUUCUUGUUUUUGACACUGCUCACAACACGAACACUACUGCUUGUUCAGCUCAUUUCUUUUGUUUUACUUAUGGCUGUAUGAUUUAUUCUGUUACUGUUUGAUGGCUUCAGCAGGAAGCGUUGAUGACUCAUGGUUUGAUUCAGUUGCAAUAUUUGAGUCUGAUGGUGAAGAUGAUGACGAUUUCGUGAGCGUUCAGGAUGGUAAGAAAUUUGCAGAUAGAUGGCGCCUUCUGAGUAGAUGAUUUUAGUUUCCUGCCUCACUGAUAACUGCAUCACAUAUAUCUUCAAAAUUUGUUUUACUUGUGAGAUCUGCAGAUGUGGUAUCUCUAAAUGGCUCUGAUGGAGUGUCCAGAACUAGUAAUGUAUCUCUAAGAGAUGCUAAUCAUCGAGGCCACAAUGUCAAUAUCCAAUGUCCCUCCUUGACCGAUCAGUUGCAGAGACCAGGGGGUUUAUCUGCCGGAAAUUCUGCUCACAAUUCUGUCAGUGAUGUUGGCAAAAAUUCAAGUAGUCGAGUUGCAAAUUCAGAGAAUGUUCAUUCCCAAUCAAAAUCUGAUGGGCCUUCUUACGAAGGAAAGCAACCUGUGUUCCUUGAUGAGAUCUCCUCCUCUGUGGAUGAAGGCUCUGGCAAGGAUGAAGGAUUGUUGGACAAUUGUGGGAUUAUUCCUAGCAACUGUUUGCCUUGUCUUGCUUCUACUGUCCCCUCAGUGGAAAAGAGAAGAUCAGGGAGCUCUAGUCCACCAAGGAUAUUUAAAAAGACUGCCUCAAAACUUUCCUUUAAAUGGAAGGAAGGACAUGCUAAUGCUACUCUGGGUGAGUAUUGAUAAUAUUUACAUUGCUUGAGAUAUGAUUAUAUGAUUUCCUGUAUUUUGCUUUUAACUUAAUCCUACUGUUUUUCAGUUUCUUCUAAGAUGCUUCUGUCAAGGCCAAUAGCAGGUGCUCAAGUACCCUUUUGCCCGAUUGAAAAGAAGAUGCUUGAUAGUUGGUCACAAAUUGAGCCAAAUACUUUCAAAGUUCGAGGGGUAAAUUACUUGAGGUGAGACUGUAAGAGAAGAGUACUCAAUUGAUUUCCCAAUGUAAAUGGAUUGGUAUAUACUUUCUGCUGAUGUACAUGCAUCUGCCAUUUAUGCCAGACUAAUGAUCAUAUUGAUGCAUUAGCAUGAGCUUAUGGGAAUUUUUUGGAAAUUUUUAUUUGAAUCAUUACAUAGGUGGAUUUCUCCUAUCACGAUAGUCGUUUUCUCGUUUACGUGGUGAUAAAUAUCUAUAUUGCAGGGACAAGAAGAAGGAGUUUGCACAUAAUUGUGCUGCAUAUUAUCCUUUCGGUGUCGAUGUAUUCUUAAGUCAGCGAAAAAUAGAUCACAUAGCUCGGUUUGUGGAACUUCCUGCUAUUAGUUCUCAUGCAAAGCUUCCACCAAUGCUUGUUGUAAAUGUUCAGGUAUCCUUGUUUGAGCUUUUUCUCUUCUUUUUAUUGAUUUUUUGUAGAAGGUAGUGCUGGGGGAGUCCUUAAAUUGCCUUGAAUUUGAGCUUUUUCUUGUUUUAAUUGGUACAACCAAAAGUUCUUAUACAAUUUGAUCUAACCAUCUUAAAUCAUCCUCGACUUUCCCAUCAUCUUGUAGCCAAAAAUGAUGCCCUUUUGUGUUUGCAUUUUGCUUAAUGCAUACAUAAAUUUGGUUUGUGCCUGUCUAUUUUAUUUUGAGGUUGACCUCUUACUGUAGCUGUAUCAUGAAAUUUCUCUUCAGCCGCAGCAGCGGUGAGCCUCACGAUGAUUUCAAACUAAAGAUUUCUCCUCCUCCUUUUCCCCUUUUCUCUUUGUCAUGAGUUUAUUUUAACCAUAAUGUAUUUUGAUAUAAAAUAUAUUUGUGGGUUCCACAGAUUCCUUUGUAUCCUACGGCAAUAUUUCAGAGCGAAAUUGAUGGUGAAGGAAUUAGUAUUGUUUUGUACUUUAAGCUUAAUGAGAGUUACGCUAAAGAACUUCCCCUUCAUUUUCAAGAAAGCAUCAGAGUAAGUUGGAAUCUCUCUAGUUGUACUUUUCUGUCUCAUUGCUUCAUAUUGCUAUUAAGCGCCAACGUAAUCUUCUGCAAUGCUGCUGCUGGAUACUGAUCCCAUUAGUCACCAAUAAGAAUAUCACUUUGACGUAGUCUUGCUAUGGUUAAUUGUUCUUGAUUGUUAAUUAUUAAAGAUCCUUUCAUAUUUAUGUCUCUCAAUUUAGCUGAUUUUACAAGGUAUCUAAUUAUUGUGAAUCCAACUUGUUCUGGAACAGAGGAUAAUUGAUGAUGAAGUUGAAAAGGUCAAAGGGUUUCCUGUAGAUACGAUUGUGCCCUUUCGGGAAAGGUUGAAAAUAUUGGGUCGUGUCGUAAAUGUAGAAGAUCUUCAUUUGAGUGCUGCAGAGAGAAAACUUUUGCAGGCUUACAAUGAAAAGCCUGUUCUUUCGCGUCCGCAGCAUGAAUUUUACUUGGUAAGUUUAUCUCUAGCUCAAUUUACCUGUUCAGAGUGAAUCAAUUGUUUGAUGACGUAUUCCUUCUUAGGCUUAACUUACCUCCAUGAAUUUGUACAGGGAGAAAACUACUUGGAGAUUGACAUAGAUAUGCACAGAUUUAGUUACAUUUCUAGAAAAGGUUUUGAAGCGUUCCUGGACAGACUGAAGAUCUGCAUCUUGGAUGUUGGCCUCACAAUUCAGGCAAGAUUUACACAUUUUGUACUUGAGCUUGAUUUAUUUCUAUUUUCUGGUUUGUAGAUGUUACCUGAUAUUUGAAUUUUAAACCAGGGAAACAAAGUUGACGAGUUACCAGAGCAGAUAUUGUGUUGUAUACGGAUAAAUGGUAUUGACUACAUGAAUUAUCAUCAACUGGGUCACAAGGAGGAGGCCCUUUGAUUAUAAGUUUUCAAAACAAUGUAAAAGGCCCAAAAGUCGGUGUUUUAGUAAAAGGCUAAUGUUUAAAAGAAAUUUAUUUCCCUUGUUGUAUGGUUCUGGUCGUUUCCUUGCUGUAACCAGAGACGAGUAUGAGUGCACCAGCCACAUGCUCACAGCAAUAAACAACUUUUGCCUAAUCAAAUUGUUAAAUUACUGUUUGGGGGAUUUACUAUUUUCCAAAAGUAAAAGUGAAAAAUUGUUACAUUACGGUGACAAAAAUAGUCCAGGAUUGCGGCAACAUAAAUGCCGGUGUAAUGAAAUUGUACGUCUCCAAGAGAGAAAACGGUUUUGAAAGAAAACGGUUUCAAAUUUUGGCAAUUUUAUGCAGCAGUCAUGAAUAAUGUAAAGGCCUAGUACUUGUCGUCUGUCUCGGUAAAUGAAUGCUAUUUUCAUUUUCUUGUAUUUUUAUAUGGCUUUCGUUGCUUGUAAAUUGGGGUUAUUAGCAAAAAGAUUAAUUAAUCUGUUGCUGGUAAUAUUUCUACUGUACUGGGUUUCUUCUUUCUUGUAUUGGUUUUGUGUUCUCAGAGUAUUAAGCCCAGUCCUUAUCUCAUGAUUCAGGAUGAAUGCAUUUUUCUGUAUGGCACCGAUGGUUUUGUAGAUGAUAACAGGAUAUGCAUGCAAAAAAUAAUUAGAAAUAGUGUAACUCAUACAUAAUAUGGGAAGCUAUUACAUCAAUUUGCCGGACUGCUAAGUUUCAUGGCAUACGCAAUCCGAGCAUUAAGCCCUACAAGCAGUGAGAGGCUUGCCGCAUAAACCUCUGUUUCCGGAGAAAGAGCUCUCGGGGAAGUCGCUCAGAGGCUUUCCUGCAGGAAUCUCCCCAACUAGGAGAUUAUGUGAUAGAUCCAAUUCCUUCAGCAUCUUCAAUUUCAAAUAUUCACUUGGUAUUCUACCAGUAAAUCGGUUGUUCCGCAGCUUCAGUGUUUCCAAUGAGCUUUCAUUUGCAAGAGAGCCUGGCAAGACGUAACCUAGCUUAUUGUAGCUCAAAUCUAGACUUCUUAGUGAUCUCAGUCUUCCCACAGAAACCGGUAUUUGGCCUUCAAGAACAUUACGUGAUAAGUUGAGAAACCGGAUCCCAGUUUGUCCUCCUCCACCUGUUAGCUCUAUUCCACUGGAGAAGCCAUUGUCUGAAAGAUCAAUAUAUGUGAGUGAACCAUCAGGAAACCUUUGCCCUAUCUUGAAAACCUGGCUUAUGGAGCCUGUUAGCUUAUUUGAGUGAAGAUCAAGCACACCCAAGUCCGGUAAGUUUGUUAUUGUCUCAGGGAUGCUUGAAACUAGUGAAUUCCUUGAGAGAUUCAAAGAGUAGAGCUGAGUGAGGCUUCCUAUCCAUGCUGGUAUGCUUUCAGUGAGAUGAUUGACUGAUAAGUCCAGUUCCUGCAAUGGACUUGGAGUUGUUCGAAAGAAUUCUGGAAUUUUGCCUUUGAUUCCACAUCCUGCCAAGUAUACUCGAGAAAGAGAUGGCAAUUCUGCUAUCCACAUUGGUAUGGAGGAGAGAUUUAACAGGUUAAAUGAUAGAUCAAGAGUUUGAAGAUUUUGGAGGGAAAACAUCCAAGAAGGCAACGGUCCUUCAAUCUGGUUUCGGGAAAUGCUUAGGAAAAUGAGUCGAGAAAGUUGACUAAUUGAUUUAGGUAUUUGGCCAGAUAACUGAUUGCCGUUAAGAUAUAGCUCUGUCAAAUCUUGCAGAUUGCCUAAGCUUGUAGGAAUUGCUCCCUCAAGCUUGUUGUUUGCUAAGGAGACUCUUCGAAGGGACGCCAGAUACCCAAAUGUUGGAGGUAUCUUUCCAGUGAGAUUGUUAUCCUGCAAUCUUAGGAAGCCAAGGGAAGGCAUUUGACCAGGACUAGAUGGAAAUGGUAUUGCCCCUUCAAGCUUGUUAUUAUCCAAGUAUAGGACUGAAAUGACAGUUAAAUUACACAAUGAAGGUGGGAGUUUUCCUCUUAAGAGAUUGUUUGAGAAAUCAAGUUGUUCCAAUAGCUGUAAUUCACCAAUCUUUUCUGGAAUGUAACCAUUCAGAUAAUUGCAAUGGAGAUCCAAACUUACCAGAUUUGUCAAGUUUGUGAAUGAGUCAGGUAUCACACCAGUGAACUGAUUUGUGUGCAUCAGCAGUUGAUUGAUAUUUUUGAGAUUGCCAAGACUUGAAGAGAGAGUCCCAGAUAAUCUGUUCUCAUGCAAGUGAAGUUCUUCAAGUUUCAACAGCUUACUGAUGCUUUCUGGUACCGAGCCACUUAGCUUGUUGCCAUAAAGAUAGAGCUUCUUGAGAUUUUGAAGGCAACCAAUCGAUGGUGGGAUUAUUCCAGUGAGAUCAAUGAGUCCACCAAGAUCAAGAACUUCAAGGGAGGUCAGAAGUGAUAUAGAAGGAGACAGCGAUCCUUUCAUCCGCGACUGAAACACCGAAUCUUCCGUGGAGAUGAAUCCUGGGAGAUGAAUUUCCGUCACUCUGCCAGUUGUGCUAUGGCAGGAAAUGCCUUCCCAUCUGCAACAACUCUGCCCAACCCAAUUCGCUAACCGGCCAGAUGUGUCAAUGUGAAUUCCAGCCUUGAAACUUUUUAGGGCUUUCAGAUCAUUGGAGUUGCAUGCUUCAACAACACUUGCAUUUCCCUUCACAACCGUUAUGAUGGUGAGUACUGCAACAAUUAACAGCAACUGACAACCCAUAAACUAGUAUUGCUGUGAGCUGAGAUGGCAAUACGAAAUUAGGAAAUUGAAAUAGAAAUAUGGUGGUGGUGUCAAAUUAACAACGAGUUUUGCGGGCUGAAAUGAAGAUAAACUGGAAUUUGGUUAAAGACACUGUUUUUGCUUUUUCUUUUUUAGGUCUUCUUUUCCCUUUACAGCAUGUCUUGCUGAAAAGCAUUAGCGUGUCCAAAUCAUGAUGUCCCAGGGUCUUGGUUAAACAAGUCAAUGAAGAACAACUUUUUCGCACUACAAUAUUGCAGGUAAAUGAAAAUAUCUCUUCACCCAAUAGUUUCAAAAUGAUUAAACUAUACGAAUCCUCUGCACUUUCAGUUGUUGUUCAAAAGAUACAAGACAGCUUCCCUGAGAAGGUUCAAUGAUAUUGCUGUAGUGGCAAACUGGGGGUAACUAAUCCACUUGCCGCUUUUGGUUGAUCCUGUGGCAGAAACGAAUAGAAAAUCAUGUGUCUUGAUACUCUCUUUGAUAGUGGUGACUAUUUGCUGACAUCUUACCUAGAGAUGCUUCUCUCAUGUCAGCAGGUAAAGUUUGACAACUUCCAUGUUCUUGGAUUCCUAUAUGGUCCUAGUAUAUUUUUAGAACUUCCAUGUUCCUGCCCUUGUUUAUGCAAUCCAAGAACCGACCGUAAUCUACAAUUUGGUACUUCAAGAAGGGUCUAACUGUCCGAAGAAUUGUUUAAGACAAAAUGAUUAAGAUACUAACGGCGUGAUAGGCGAGAAACUUGAACUGUCGAAGAUGCUUCUUAGCCCUAGGAACCUGAUAAUUGCUAUUCACUUAAGUUUGACAUCUUUUGCUUUUGUAACACGUUGAUUUAUAAGCACAUUAUACGCGUUGAUCUAGUCUCUUACUGAGUUAUUUCUACCAGUGUUAAGCAAACAGAAAAUAAGUUUCUAACCAAUCAAUUGAAGAAAAUUGGUCGUGCGAAGUUGAAUUUACAGCACAUAUCUUGAUUAGAAAACCAAUAGAAACAAAUUCUAUGUAACGAAAAAAAUAAAAAAUAAAAAAUAAAACUACUAUGUCAGCAAACAAAACGAACAAAUCAAAUAAAUUAAAUAUGUAAUGAAACUGUGUAUCAGGUAAAGUUUCCAUCUCAACCAAGAGCAAGAAGUCUUGAAGGAUUAAAAUGAAAAGAAAGAAAGAAAAAAGGACCGCCCAUUUACAUGUUGGAAAGAAGAAACACAAUCAAUUUGUCUCAAUUGACAGCCAACUUUUUUUUUUUUUUUUAAUUAACAGUUGACAUGGGACGAUAGAGACUGGAAGCUCCCCCAUCUCAAUUGACAAAAGGUAACUUCUAUGACACAGCCUCAGAAGAAGUCUAGUAAGCGAUUAGAGCCAGCUGGUUAGUCUAGUAGCUAUUCAUUCUUCUAUGUAACAAGGUCAAAGUAACAAAGGGCUAUGUUUCAUUAACUCCCAUGGGAUACGAGGGAUGACAGAGAUUUUGCUUAUACAGAUGCAGUUGGGCUGAUAACAUCUUCUUCAUCAUCUCCAAAGGUGGCUUUCCCACUUAACAUCUUUAUUGCUAUUUGAGCAAUUUCUGCAAACCAGUCAUCCUCUGGCAAUACACUGCCAAUGGUCCAUUUAAAAAAAAAAAAAGAAAAAAGAAAGGAAGAUAACUGAGCAAGAAAACCAACUUUACAUUUUUUAGUUUAUAAACUUAUAUUGUUACAGGAUUUACCUGUAAGGAUCAAUUCCAGUUGCAGCUACAACUUCAAUAGCUCUAGCAAUGAUAUUUUUAAUAACUUGUUGCAAGUUGCGAGAUAAAUAACGGCCUUGGGAUGAGAAAAGCAUCACAAACUCCAUAUCCAAAUAAAACUGCAUGAUCAACAAAAUUAUCGUGCAAAAUUUCAGUCAUUUUCAAUAAAUUAGUUAAAAAGCAGAGUAAACGCGAAAAAGGACAUUUUUUAUUUCAAAAUGUACCUGUUGCAGUCCAAGAGGACCCAAAGGCUUUGGCCCCUCCUCUAUCUCAGCCCAAAAGCUUUGAUCAUCAGCAAGCCACAGGAUCACUGUCUCCGUCAGUCUCAUUAGUAGAAUAGUUGCAAACCUUUCCCUACCCACAAACAUAUCGGAUGCAAUGCUUGCCAUACGGGUCAAUUUGAUAAAAAGUUCCUGAAUGGAAUUUAGUAAGUGGUCAACAAUCAAAGGAUUUUGACAAACACAAGAUUUCACAGCAUAGCAUAUGUAUGCUGUGACAGAAGCAUCUUAUCAAUGAUGAUGGAAUUGCAUGUUCUAAGUUCAGCCACUUUGCUGCAAUCAGAUAAAAAGAGGCCAUAUUGGGAAAAAUAGACGCCAGUUACCUGGAAAAUUGGAGAUGGAAACCAUUCAGGCUCUUCCAUGCUCUCAUCCAUACAUGUGUAGAUUUCUGCAUUCAGACGGAUUUCACCAUCUUCCGUGAAGAUGAUAUCAAGGGCGUGUGUUCUGCAGAAGCUAUCUCGCAAGCGAUCAACCAAGCGUUGAAGCUUCCUCUUCCAUUCCCUUUGCUCCGGAAAACGAUUUUGCCUGUCUGAAGCUCUUCUUGGAGUCAUUUCCAUUCUAUUUGAGCUAAAUGGCAAAAGCUUUAAUGCAGCACGUGGUAGCAGCUCAUCUGCUAACAGCGAAGCAUUAGCUAGCAAAGCUACCUGUUGGGAUUCAGUCUCUGCCAUGCUUACAAUUUUGUUAGAAAAACCCUCCAAGUUUUCUUCAUUCUCAGUUGAACCUGGUAGUGCAUUUAUCAACAAACUGACAUAAGAGUUAAAUGCUUGAAAAACACCAUCCAGUGCAGGACCAUCCAACUUCAGGUUUUCAAGGGGCCCAAUAUCCUCCAGUAACUCCUGAACGAAGGUGUAAUGAUUUUAUUAGACAAAGAAGCCAAAAAAAUAAGCCUCAAAUUCCAAAAUCUCUUAAUAGACAAAAGACAAAAUUGGCAUCACUGUUGGGAAGAAAGGAAUCUGAGAACAAAAUCUAAUUACCUGAACCAGCGCAUUAAAUUUGUGAGCACUGGUUGAAAGCUUAGGCUGCGAUCCCACUGCAGUAUUAAGAGAAUUAGUAGAAGAAAAAGGUCGUGCACCUGCUGGAGGAUAAGCGAGCAACCAGUCAUCUGCAGCGGCUAGUGCAGCACUGCUUUUUUCAAUUCUUUUUAAGUAAGUACUUAAGGCAUGUUCAACACUAGGCCUAAAGGAUCUCAAUAUGACAGGAGAAAGAGCCAAUCCGCGAGCUUCUAACAAAGAACAGUGACCCAAGCAUAUCUGAAUGGUUUCAGUGACUACUCUGAGGCCACCCGCAGCUGCUGCCGAUGCCAAAAUAUGCCUCUCGAGGAGAAGAGCAAAAUCCUCAGUCUCUUUGACAGCCCAAGUGACAAGCUCAGAUGAAUAUGCAGGCUCCUCACCAAAAACUGCCAAGGAAUCCCUUGCUGCUUGUGCAAUUGUUGAGAAGACAAGCUGUGAGACGGUAGCGGUUAAUGCCCCUCCACUCAAACUGCUUGAUGAGCGAAGACUCUGCACAUAGCUCUGCAGCCGCUGGUGAUGAGAUUUAAGCAACAAUGUAUGGGAUCUUGGACCGUCUCCAAGUUUUUUCAGAGCUAAAACAGCUGAACGAAGCUCAACACCACGAGUAGACGGUUGGCAAAUAGUCCCUGCAAGUUGAUCAGCUAGUUUUUGCCUCUGCUCGGAGAUAGCACUCUGCAAGGAGAAGAUUGCGCUUCGGCUCAAUGUACACCUGUGCUUAGCUUCUCUCACCGUAUUUUGUCCUUCUUCGAGUGCUGCGAGGGCUUCAUCUACUCUCCUCUCGGCCAACAAAACUUCAAGUGUCUCUAAGAACUCAACCGACCAAUUUUCCAUAUUGGAAAGCCCCUCAUUUUUUAAGCUAGAAAUGUCAUCAUCAUCUGAAUCUUCGGUAACGGCAAACAAGGAAUCAAUUCGAGCACCUUCAGCUAGACCUUGAACUAGAGCCGACUGCGUGGCCAGGAGAUUUCUCAUGGAAAGAAGCUGACCCUCAAGAACUGAAAUCUCUUUCGACGUGCUGCAAACAAAAUAUUCUUGAUAUAUUUGUUUAUCAGGAUUGUUGAAUAAAUUUCCACAGGCAUGAUGACUCUUAAUUGUUUAGUACAAACAUUCUCCUAAUAACUGAAAUUAAGGAACAAAUUUGGUGUACAUUCUACUCAAAUAUCUAAACUAGCAUAGCAUAAUCUAUCUGUUCUUGAUGACAUAAUUAAAUUAAAAGUAGUAAAUUCGCUCACCGAAUGAAAGCCGCAUAAUUGGCAUAAACACAUCUACGCAUUUCCUCAGCUGAAGCCUUCUUCAAUUCAACAAGGUAAGAGCACAAGUGCCUUAUCUCCUGUCAAUCACAAUCACACACAAGACGGCUUUACGUUUUGCCACAGCAUCAUUCAUGACCGUUGAUCCAAACUUUCAUUUUUUAAUUAACCUUAAAAAAAUGAUUAUCAUUUGUUCUUGAUUGAUGGAGAAUGUUCUUGCAAACAAACAAAUAGAAAAAUUUAGUUUAUCAAAUGUAAAGUGAAAAGAGAGACCUUCUCAUUCAUGUGCUGGGAUUUGGAGGUUACGUAGGCGUCAGGAUCAAAUUGAGAGCUUUUGAAAGCCUUUAAGCGAUCACUAAGCGUUAGAUUGCCUUCGAGUUCUGCGGAGUCUCCCAUACUUGAUGAAACUGACGUCCUCGGCUGUGCAGUUGUCACGAUUGACGUGAUAGACAUUUUGUACGAGCUGCGUUUCUUCUUCUAUUAGCAAAUUGAUUAAAAUGGAAAAACAAGAGGAAACUAUAUGAACUAUUAGGAAUUAACAACAAAUCAAUCGCAAAGAACUGUACGUACGUAUUACCUUUAGUAGUAUUUGGUAUAACUGUUACAGAUGACAAGAAAACGAAAGAAGGAAUUAAAGGAGCCGGUUCAGGGACAGAUUCGAUUGAUAAUUCAUCUGCUUCUUGCUCGAUCGCAUUGAACAACGCGUACGAGUACGACUCGCUUGGUUUGUUUCGUUUUACGUUCUGUUAAGCUCGAAUCAUCAUCAAACACGACAUGCCUCUCAGCAUACCACGUAAAUGAUUAUUUCAACACAUCUUCCGUUCUUUCAUGUUUUCACGUUGUUUUAAAAAAAAAAAAAAAAAUGCUUUUUCAAUUUAUUCUUAGGGCUUUUUGCACUCAUAUUAUAACAAUUUCUUAAUUAUAAAAAUACUUAUAUAAUGUAUAUUACAUUUAAGGACAAGUAUGAGAUUAUUAUUUUGGACACCCAUCAAAUACACUCAUUUAUUUAUGAUUUUUCUUUAUUUUAAACCCUAAAACUUGCUUCUUCAUGUGUAUUAAAAAAAAAAAAAUCAUUUGCUUGGACUGGAAAUUAUUCAGGUUGCAUUUAUGAUUGAAACAAAAAAUUGGUUCAAUUUUUGUAGUGCAAAAAGAAUAGUGGGGAAAAAAACAGUUAUAGGAAAAAAUAAAAAUAAAAGGCAGAACAUCAUUGAUGUACAAUUAGCUAAGCAAUAUAUGAUUCAAAUUUGAGUCAUUUCAAAGUAGAUUUAUAGAUGUAUUGAAUAUUUUUAUUUGGGUGUAGAGUAAAUAAAGAUAGUUCAAUUAAAGAUCAAAUGGAGCCAUUUUUGGUAUUUUAAUUAAAGAGUGUAUAGAGUAAAACUCAAUUAUUUAAAUUAAAGAUGAGUGUACAAAAUAAUAGGGUGUUUAGAGUAAUAUUUAGAGUGCAAAUAGAGCCACUGUUAUUCUUAUUAGCUUCGCUUUUAUAUCAAAAUUUCAAUAGAUUAUUGUUAUAAAUUUAUAAUAAGUUUUAAAAUGUGUGUAUUACAUGCUACAUUCUUAUACAGCUAUAUAUACGCCCAAAACACCAUAAGAAUUUUUCUGGGAGGGAUGGGAAACUUGUUUAUUUUAUAUAUAUUGUGUAGAAGAGUAGUGUUAUGCAACCUACAUUUUUCAUCUUAAAAAACUAUUACAAAUGAUGUUGUAUUUAUCAAUUAUUUGAUGAAAUAAUACAAUUAAUUCACUUAGAUAUUACAAAGAAUUAUCAACUAUUUAAUAGAUGACACAUCAUUUGAGAUGAAAUGUGUGAUAAAAAAAUUUGGGAUAGAAAACUCAUAUUAACUUCUCACUUUAUUGCAUUAUGUUCUUUUUUUUAAAAUAUUUUAUUAGACAACAAAAUCUAAAACCUUCGUAUGUAAUAUUUGGGAUAUUUUAAGAAUUCCCUUCAUUUUGGUUUUUUUUAUUAAUAUAACAUAAAAGGGAUAUAAUUAAAGAUGUAAUGCUUUACCCAUUUAAGUAAAACAUAAAAAUGGGUAAAACAUGAGAUUAAUUAUAGAAGUACAAAUAAACAUGGGCACAUGCAUGUAUGCCAUGUAAUAAUUGAAUGAGAAAACAAUGCAACUAGUGAAAGUAAUUAUAUGGGAUUUGUAAAUGGUAACACCUUCUAAUUAAUUUUUUUGUGUCACAUGAUUUUGUAUAUGCAUAUGCUUGUACAUAUUAAAGUGAGUGUAACUCUCUCAUUUUCAAAACAUAAAUAUUGGUCAUUUCCCUUCAUUAAUUCAAUAAAUUCUAGCAAAUAAAACACGGAUUACAAGAAAAUGUCGAUCACUUUCCUGUUUUCAGAGGUGCAGAAACUUGGCACACUUUAGCCAAAUGAUCCCUAAUUUCUAUUUUUUGAUAAAACUGAGAUAUGUAUAGCAGUUAAUUUUGGAAGAAAAAAAAAAUUAGCAUCCCAUAACUUUGUUUGGACUGAUAAAAGGCUUCUCAACCACAGUGCCGUCAUUUCCAGCAAGAGCCCGGUACUUGUCUUUCCUGGUAAAGCGGGUGGACUCAUAGGAAAGAGUUGCGGCGAUCACUCUUUGUAUGUAAUUUGCCACCUCGUGGCUGGACUUCCCUGAACCGCAUGUCAGCUCCAUUGGCAACUUGUUCAAGAAAGUAACCUCAUAUGCUGGGCAAGGGUUCAUGAAGAAGUAAAAUGGGUCCAUCCCUUUCCAUCCUCUGGCCGUCGUUCCAUGAAACAUGCUCAUGCGAUUCACCAUUGCUACUGGCACAAGCUCGUCCGUUAAUUCAGCGAACAAUGCUGAAAAUCUCAAAAGAAAUGGUUCCCUGCAAGUAGUCCCCUCAGGGCACAUAGCUAAGUCACCUUCUUGGAGCAGCUUCUUGAUCGUGGAUGCAUCAGUGGCUCGGUCUCGGCUGAGUCUAACAGCUUUGAUGGGUGAGAUGAUUUCUGAGAGUCGAGAGACGGAGUAGGUUACUGUAGGAAUCGGACGGCCAAGAGCGACUGAGAGGAAAAUUGGGUCGAGUAGAGUUCUGUGUGAGCAAACAAAGAGGACCCCAGUUUGACCAGUUGACUUUUUGGCUGCGGGCGGUGGAGUGCCUUUAACUAUAACACGAACGCCGAGUGCCCAGAAAGCGUAAUAGACCGUCGACAUUGGGAGCAGGGCGCCGGCAGCAAUGCGUAAGCAAGCCAAGAAAAAGCCGAUGGGAGUCCAGAGAAUGAUGAGCAGUGCCAUGAGAGGUGCUGGCUUUUGAACAAGCCUUCCGUCAUGGAAAAUAAUGGGUUUUGGGAGCUUGUCACAUGUUACUGCCUUUACUUCUGGCUUUGAUGGAACCAAGUAACCCUCCUGAUGAUGAUGAAUGCGAAUUAGAUGCAAUGCAGUUAAUCAGUUCAAUAACAUAUAAUAAUUAGUUAACUAACUGUUAAUUACGUACCUUGCACAGAGCCAUGAAAGGAAUAUCAGUUUGGCGAUCACCAAGUCCAAUCUCCGGUUGUGUCUCACCGAAAGCCUUAAGAAGGGCAUCUGCCUUUUUAUUGCCUACAAGCACUCCAGGGUCACGUACUAACCCAGUUGCUCUACCUUUGUAAGUCGCAAUCUCGGUGCCCACAAUCAAAUCAGCUGCCAAAAAAUCUUUCAAAAAUGCUUCUACCAUAAUCCUGGGAUUCGCAGUGAGAACACAUCGCUUCCCACACGAAGAAAACACGCGCCACGACUCUGGGUGGAGAUCACUUGCGUAAAAUUUCGGCAGCACGGCGCGGGCCACUGAUUCAAUAUCAGUCACUCGCAAACCAACAAAUGAUGCAAAGAUAAGCACUUGGAUUCCAGCUGAUUCCGAGACCAAGUAAUACAAAAGCCCCGCGAUUGGCGAGGCUAAGAGCAAGAACAGCAGCCUCAAAAUCCCACCAGCUUCGAAGGCAACUAGGGCAAAGUACGGGAAAGAGCUACGGCCUCUAAGCAAAGUUCCAUCCAUGUCAGCAACCACCGUGUGCUUUUCCCGGCCUAUCGAUGAGCAUUUCUCAACACUACUUGGGAAUCCACUUACGGCCAUGGUGGGUGGCUAAUAUUAGCUAGGCGCCUAGGCCUAUGCCUUAAUAUAUUUCUUAUACUAUUCUAGCUAGCUUGAGAGAGAAAAAUUAAUGUGCGUAUUUGUUGAUUUGAAAUAAGCGUUAGUGUUUAUUGCUCUAUAUAUAGAGUUGACUCGAAAUAAGUAUUAAUGUUUGUUGCUCUGUAUAAGUAAUAAGGCGAGACAAAAUUGCAUGGUGAGCUACGUAACAAAAGAGAGGAUUAAGGGACAAGAUUAAUGUUUGGUUUAUUUAUGAAUUAUGAGAAGAACUAUGGGAUCGAUGCAGAUAUAUGGUAUAACCGAGGGCUGGGGGCCCUCGUUAUUAGAGGAGAAUGUAAGACAAUGUUUGGUAUACGCAAUUUAGUGGCUUCGUUGACAUCGCCCGCAGCUUGUCAUGUUUGCUUUGUCUUUCUCUCCUAGUCUCACUCUGCACCAGCAUACUUACAACUGAACAUUCUGUUGUUUCAAAAAGAGAGAACGUAUUUUUCAUCCUUAAUAGAUGUCAUGUUUAUAACUUACAUCCCUAUUUAACUUUCAAUUAUCUGGUUUAUUCCUCCUGCCAAGAGAUAAUAUUAUUAAUUGUGAAAAUAAAGGCAAAACAAUUAAUCAUUCAAAGUGUGAUAUUUUAAAAUUUAAAUUACAACAUGGGUAACUCAUUGUAACAUUGGGAUUAAGAAAAAUAAAUAAAAAAUAUAAGUGCUCUUUUGAUAAUUACAAAACACUAAUUCUUUUUAUCUUCUCUUAAAUUUUGACACCGACCUACUUAGAAAUGUCAUAAAAUCUUGUAAAAAGAGAUAAAAUAGUAAAUGAAAUAAGUAAUUAAAAAUUUAAUAGGAAUAUAAAUAGUAAAUAUAUAUGAUAUCUCUCAGCAAGGAAAUAUGCAUUCUCUCUUUACAAAAUUAAGCUGCUUAUAUAUGGUAACUCCUCCUGCUAAGGCGUAAUAAUCACACCUGCAUGCAUGCUGUGUGAAACUUGAUAGGUACGUAAUUCAAAUACGCCAAGAUCACAACGAAACACGGAAAUAAUUAAUUACAAUUUAUAUUUUAGAAUCGAAUGACAUGACACACAUUGGAGGGGUGGAAAGAGAGGGAGGAAAGCGCCAACUAAUUAGGCAAAACUACUUUAUAAUUAACUUUAGUCUUUGUCUUAUCUCUUGUGAUAUGUGGUAAUGCUUUUAAGUGAUCUCUCGGAACUGAAUGUUGAUGCCGAAUAAUGAAUAGUAGCCCAGAAAUCAAAUGAUUAUUCAUUAGUAUAUAUUUUCAAAUUGGUAACGUUAUUGUUGCUAUGAUCGAGAAGCAGAACCAAUGUACGCUUAUAAAAUUUUUGAGUAAAGUAUUUUCAUUUUAUUGGUUAUAUUUUUACUAUACGUACGUAUCUCUCAACCAAUUAUGAGACUAAAUAUACUUAUAACGAGUAUAUACAACAAUUUCACCCAAGAUUUUUCUAAUAUAAGGAAUGGUUUCUAUAAUCUCAAAUUAAUUUCACAUAUAUUGAGUAUAUCAACAUAUGUAUCAAACUUUUUUCAUACAAACUAAUGUGAUAGUUUAUUAAUAUAUUAUUAUUGCCACGUGUCUAAUAACAUAAAACAUUUGGUAUUUAAAAAUGAAAAAAAAAACACCACAAGAAUAUUUAUAUUCUAAUAUUGAAGACUACCAAAAUUUUAAUUUUCAAUUAAAAUAUUCUUAGUUAUGAAGCUCAAAUCUGAACUUAGGGAUAUGUAUGACACGUCGGUUGUUUGUCAGGAAGAAUAACGACAUGUCGAGCAUUGGAGUUCAGAGCAGCUGAAUGAUACAAACGUUAUGUCGGUUGGAUGCGUUAGUAAUGCAUGUGAUGCGUCACAUGCUCCACUAAUUCAAACGGCAGCCACAUAUGUGUUUUAGUUAGCAGAUUACAUGAGCAAUUGACAAGUGUCCCAGAGCAAAUUCAAGAAGUGGUUUUUUUGGCUAGAUCACGCGAGAGGCAACUGGAGAUCUUCUUGGCUGGAAACCCAAGAGCAUGAGCUGACUUCUUGGGGCUCUUUCAGAUUGUUCUGAGUGGAGUAUAAAAGGUCCUAGGAUCUGUUACUAAAGGUAAUAAAGAGCCACUCAAAACAUUGUACAAACUAAUAUUAUAAAAUAUGAUUGGUUGAUAAACAUAAAUCAUAUGGAUCCUACCAUAUUUUUAAUUCAACUAUUAAUAAUAGGCCACGUCAGUUAGUAACAUUAUUUGUACAAAAAUAUGUUAUGUUUAUAUUACUCAAUUAGAAUUUGAUCCACAAAUUUGUACUUAAAAUAGGUAAAAAGUCCCUUUCACCCUUAGGGUUUAAUGCAACAUCCCAUUUCAUCUAUACUUGCCAAACAAUAACUUAAAAUAUCCUUAUAUGAAUUUACAAUUAGUUUCAUGUAUAAUUCAUUAAAGGCAAACUUGGAUUUUCAAUUAAAUAAAUGUAAAGCAUUUUAAAAUAAAAUUCUCAAGAACAAUUAAAUCACAUCUUUUUUUGUGCAUAAAUUUAAAAUUUAUGGAUAACUUAUUGAAACAAAUAUAGUACUAAAGAAUAUGCAAUAUUGUGUUUGUGUUCAUUAAUUUUUUUUAAAUGAAUCAACUAAAUUUUUGCAAUAAUAAUAAUAUGAUGAUGAUGAUAAUAACGAUAAUUUUAUAAUCGGGGAUGACCAUCUAUAAUAAAAUCAGAAAUAAAUUAAAAAAUAAAAAAAAAUACAUAUUUCAACACAAUAUAUUUUACUAUGUAGCAUUUUAAAUACGUGUUUUUAUGAUAAAUUCGAUGCCAAAAAGCAGUAUUAAUCAAUUCAAUAUGCAUUAAUAUCACACAGCUAAUUUCAUCCUGGCGUAAAAAUCCGUUGUUAAUAAUAUAAUAAUAUUUGGUCCACAAAAAAAAAAAAAAAAAAAAAAAAGGCCUCGUUACAAUAACAUGGAGCCAGAAUACUUUUCAUUUCUUAUAAAAAAAAAAAAAAAAAAUGCUUUUCGUUUAUCACCCGCUCACCUGCAUCAUUAAAACUCCCAAAUCAAGAAUCCAGACCUGUCGUUCGGCGGUUUUGGUGGGCCCAAAAAUGAGAUCAACAAAUCAGUAGUGUAAGCCCACAAAAUUUUAAAAUAUGAGUUGUGGAUUAUUUGAAAUUUGAAGGGGAAAAUAAUGCCCCACCACUUCCGUAACUACAGCAUUUUAAGCACAGUUAGGAAUUAAGGAUAGCAACGGUAUCAUUGUGUGAGUUUAAAAUUAAGUUGAUUUGUUUCUAUAUUUUUUUUCAUUAAAAAAAAAUAUUUUUUAUAAAUUUUGUCAAAGAUAUCAUUUACAAAUUAUAUUUAUUAACAUUAUCAAUUUUUAACAAUUUCGUUUACAAAAAUUGUGACUUAAAGCUGCGAUACUUAAAUGUUAAACUGAGCCGUAAUUUUACAAACCAAAUCCCAAUCGUUCCAACUCUUAUUAUUCUUUCCAUUUUCAGAUCAAAACAUUGUGAUUUCGAUAUCUUUACUCAAUGUUGUUGAGGUGGUGACCCGUUUCACAUAAAAUUUUUCCAGACCUUCCUAUAUUCUCAUGUGACAACGAACUUGCAAAUCCUACUCACACAGUCACGAUCUGGCCAGAAGGGAUUAUAAAAGUUCGUGGCAACAAAAACACAAUAGGCUGAGUGAGUGGCCAAUCAUUAGGCAUUUUAGAAAAUUCCAAUUGGUGGCCAGUCCCUUUCAAAUUCAUUGUUACAAGUCACAUUCUCCCGAGCACGUUAUGCAAUUUAUCACCAAUAAAAAGAAAAAGAAAAAGAAAAAAUAUGUUAUGCAAAACCAGCACUUCAAAAUUCAAAAACCACAGAAACUGACAAAUUCGUCCAUUAAAAACUCCACCCAGGGCCCUUCAUAUAAUGCCGUCAAUUGUUGGUGCAAAAUUCAAAUAAUAAUAAUAAUUAUUAUUAUCACAUCAUUCAUAUCGUCCAUUUUUCGAACUCGACUACUAAUAUAAAACAAAACUACUCAUACGUAGUGAUACUGAGAUUUUAAUUUGUUUUACACUUAUAAUUUUUUUUAAAAAAAAUGAAUGCCCGUUAUUAAAGUCAUAGUUUUUAAUCUAGUUUACGCUUUAAAAAAAAAUAUUUCACACGAAAAAUGAAUUUUUCACAGAAAAUUAAAGAGAAAUUAUUAGUUAUUUACCCAAAAAUUUCCGUGUUAUAAAAAUAUUAAAAAAAUUUGAAUUUAUUUAAUUUUUUGCCCAUUAUUUACAAUGUGUAUCAAUUGUCCACAAAAAAAAAAGAUAAAAUCAUUCUUAUAAAAUAACCACAAUUAUAAUUUGUGAUUGCCUUUAUUUUGUCAUUUUGUAAGGAUAACUUUAUUUUUUUGGUAGAUGAUUGAUGUAAAUUACAUAAAAUAUGUGUAAAAUGAAUAAAAUUAAAUGUUUAUAAUACUUAAAAAAUGUAUUAAAUUUAAAGUAGAUGGCUAAUAAUUUUUUAAAAUUAAACUAUUGUUCUCCAAAAUAGAGUGAAUGAUAUUCUAAUACUCCGCUAACUACUUUGAAGAUUUAUAAUAAAUUAAGAGCAUGUUUGGGGUUGCUUUUAGAAGAUUCAAAAGUAAUGAUAUUUAGUAAUUUAUUUUAAAAGUCACUUUUGGCAAAAUCUCCUCAUCAUAUAAGAAAAUUUUGAAAAAAUAUAAAAAAAUAAUUUUCAAAAUCUGAUUUUGAGAAUAUAUAUAUAUAUAUAUAUAUAUAUAUAUAUAUUAUCCUUAUCAAUUAGGAAAUAAAAUCAUUAACUUUAAAGCGAUUGUUAUUACUACUAAUUAUAUUGGGAUAUCGAAAUAAAAAAUUAAUAAUAUAAAAUAUUUAUUUUAGUUAUCAAUUCUUAUAUUUACACAAUAAAAAUAUAUUUUAUAUACAUAUUUAUAAACGUGUAAAUAAAUUAUAUUCAAUAUUAUGUUUAAUUCAAUUAUUUACAUUUUUACAUCAGUUUAACAAUAAAAUUUAUAAAACAAAUAUAAACUUACAAUAUUUUAAAAAAUAAAUUUUAUAAAAAUUUUAAUUAAUUUUCUUUACAACUAAUUAUUUUUAUAAUACAUCUUACUGUGAUUAAUUUAGAAUCUAUAGUGCUAUCAAAUUGGCCUUAAGGAGACUGGUGCAGAGCCGUAGGGUACAUUUUUCUGUAAAUUUAUAAAUAUAAAAGAUUUUCUAAAUCUAUAAUCAUUUCUAGAACUAGGAGCUUCCGUAUAAACAAAAGAAAUAAAUAAUAAUAAUCAGAUGACAAAUGUCAACAAAUAUAAACGCAUGACGGCCUGAGUCGUGAGGAAGGAAUUUAAAGUUGACCAGCGACCACCGUUGUGGAAAGUGGUGACUAAUUUUAUUUCCUAAACGGAUAAUUUUUAAAAACCUCCCCCGAGGUUUGGACUUAUUGUAAAUAGAUGGCGAGAAUUCGUUUAUUUAUAAAAAAUCAUCUACCGUCAGUUAAUUUUUAUAUUAACCGUUAGUUGACUGUGCAAAGAUAAUAUUGCCCUUAACAACAGUUUGUAGACUGACAUAAUUAAAAAAAAGCUGAAAUUAUUAGUGCGAAAAGCACAAACCCUAUUUUUUGAUAAUUUUAUUCCUGUUAAUUUCAAAGAUUUACAAUAUCAUAGGUAAGGAUUAUGAUUAUGUUACCCUCUUUAAAUUAUUGAUAUUUCCUUAAAGUUCCUACAAGAAAGAUAAAAUUAAAAACUUGAAAAAUAUAAAGAGGGUGUUGCAUUAUGACCGUUACAAACCAACAGUUAUAUUGCAAGUCUCCUGCUAUUUAUAAGAUUGUAAAGCAAUUUAAAGCCUUAUGCACACAGAAACAAUUUAUGCUUCUCAACAUGUCAUUCUUCUUCCCUUAUACUCUAAAUGUUGUAUUUCUUAACAACAUUUAGAGUAUAAGGGAAGAAGAAUGACAUGUUGAGAAGCAUAAAUUGUUUAUGCUAAAUGUUGUAUUUCUUAACAACAUUUCUGAUCAUCAUCACAGAUAACACACAAUAUUUAUCAUCAUCAUCACAUCACAGUUCUUACAUUAAUCAAGUGAGUAGAAUUUCUGUGCAGAAUGGGUAUCUUUGGGAAUUAAACUGUACUGCAUGAGAUUGAAUUAAUUUUCGGGCCAUACAUCAUUGGAAAUAUAUUUCCAAUGAAUUUUACUAAUCUAAAUUUGGAGCUAUCUACAGUAAGUUAUGAUCAGUUAAGUGUAGACUGUUCAGUUUUGAGUAGAAUUUCUUACGUUAAUCAAGUGAAAAGAAUUUCUGUGCAGAAGGGGCAUCUUUGAAAAUUAAAUUGUACUGUAUGAGAUCGAAUUAAUUUUCGAGCCAUACAUCAUUGGAAAGAUAUUUCUGUUAGCUUUCCAAUGAAUUUUACUAAUCUAAAUUUGGAGCUAUCUACAGUAAGUUAUGAUCAGUUAAGUGCAGACUGUUUAGUUUUGAGUAUAAUUUCUUACAUUAAUCAAGUGAGCAAAAUUUCUGGAGCUAUCUACCACCACCGCUGUAGGUGUUGCUGCUCGUUGCCACUGUAAGCUGCUGCUCGUCAAUUCGGUAAUCCUCUUUGAUGAUCAGAAAUCGUCUUUGUAUCCAGGGUUUUAUACGAUGAUGGUGGUGGUCAUAUUUGUUUUUGCUUUCGUUUUUAGUUUUUAGUUUUUAAGAUUAUUAAAAAAAAUAAUAGCAAAGAGAUGCAUUGUUUGAAACGAAACGAAACUUCUUUUUGCAAGUUUGAUUUUUAUUUGUGUUAGAACAUUAGUAACUAAAAUGACUAGCUACUGUUCUCAAGGCAACGAAAGUUGCAAAAGAUUUGUUUUAUUGCAAAAUGUCAACAAUGCCCACAACUACCCAAACGGCAACCAAACGAAACAAAAACGUAGGGAGUUUUUUACAAAUAAACGGAUUCUCACCAUCUACUUACAACAAGCUCAAACCUCAGGGGAGGUUUUUAAAAAUUACCCAUUCCUAAACCCAAAUCUCUCCCCCGAACUCAAUUAAUUAAAUUUGAAGUUUGUUUCAUUUUAUUAAUCACGCCUAUUUGGAAUCUUCCAUGCAAUGCAAAUGUGCAAUGUUGGAAACUAAUUAAUCAAUCACCGACAAACGAGGAAACGUUGCCGUUUUCAACUUCCAAGCAUAAACAACUUUUCCUCUUCAGGCAACUACCAGCUACGUGACAGCCGAAGAUCGAGAAGAGAAAUUGUUUCUCAUUCAGUAUGAGAUUUUGCUUUGCUUGGCCCUUUAAAGUUUUUGUUCUAAUAAUUUUAUAGAAUUUGAUCGUAAUUAAUUCAAAACAUCUUCUCCCCUUUCUCUGAGUUAAGUUAGUGUCUCUUGCUGCUAUUGUGUGAUUGUGAACGCGCCUUGGUUCGGAGUGCUAGCUUCUCAAAAUAAACCAAAUACAAAGAUCAAGUUAGAAUUUUGUUUUCUGUUAUUUGGUUUUACAAUGAAGCGAGCGAAGCUGGAGUCGGUGUUGCCACUGAGUCGACUCAGAAUGAUUCAAUUCUUGAUGGGUAUCCUGUUUCUUUACCUUCUCUUCAUGAGCUUUGAAAUCCCUUUUGUAUUUAAAUCCGACACCGGGUCUGUUGGGUUCUUCGCCGACACUUUGCCCAAGCAUGUGCUGCUCGAAAACGAAGCGGAAGAGCUGUACACAGCGAGUCGACCUUCAAAGGACACGUCAGCCUCCACCUAUCAGACAUUUUCUCGUGCGCCUGAGCGGCGAAUGCGCGAGUUCAAGAGAGUCUCAGGUUUGUUCUUCAACGAGAGUGCGCUCGAUGACAGCGAAAGUAACAUAGAUGAGUUCUCGGUUCUUCACAAGAUCGCGAAGGACGCGUGGUCUGUCGGCAAGAAAGUCUGGGAUGAGCUCGAAUCGGCGGAGACUAUAAGCAAAACCCAAAUCGAACCCAACAAGACGAAGUCCGAAUCUUGCCCACAUUCGAUUUCAUUAUCCGGGUCCGAUUUUGUGAACCGGAGCCAUCUCAUGGUUUUGCCGUGUGGAUUGACACUGGGGUCACAUGUUACUGUCGUUGGUAAGCCGCACUGGGCCCACCCGGAGGAUGAUCCGAAGAUUGCUUCGUUGAAAGAAGGGGAGGAGGCUGUGUUGGUGUCGCAGUUUAUGAUGGAGUUGCAAGGUUUAAAGACCGUUGAUGGGGAGGACCCACCAAGGAUUCUGCAUUUUAAUCCUAGAUUGAAGGGUGAUUGGAGCGGGAGGCCUGUGAUUGAGAUGAACACGUGUUACAGGAUGCAGUGGGGUUCUGCUCUUAGGUGUGAAGGUUGGAGGUCUAGAGCUGAUGAAGAAACUGGUAAAUUGGUUUCUCCUAAUGCAUGUGCUUUUCUUGUUCUUUGUUGUUGUUCUUGUUGAUUAAUGUGACUGAAUUGAACUGAAUGUAGUUUAAGUGAAUAGAGGCUGUGGUUAAGAAAUGGAUUAAGCUAGCAUUUGCUUGUGUGGAAUAUGCGUGUAUAAGGCUCCCUGAUAUCUGUGCUGAAUUGUGGUAAUAUUUAAAUUGAAAUCAGAAUUUAUCAAGGGCUUUGGAGAACAUGUCCUAAUGUAGAUGGUCUGGAGGUACAAAGUAGUCUGUGUUUAUUCUUUUUCAGUAUUGUCAUUUAUCUAACUUCUUGUUGGAUGCUAGCUUAGCUCAAUUUUGAUAAUUUGGAGUGUUUGUUAAAUGAUUCUAAAUUUUUCUAUUUAGUUUCAUUAAUGAUGUUGUGCUCUGUGCAGUUGAUGGGAAGGUGAAAUGUGAGAAAUGGAUACGUGAUGAUGAUGAACAUUCAGAGGAAUCAAAGGCAGCGUGGUGGUUGAACAGGCUCAUAGGGCGAACAAAGAAGGUUACAGUAGAGUGGCCAUACCCAUUUUCAGAGGGCAAUUUGUUUGUUCUUACCAUAGCAGCUGGCCUGGAAGGCUACCAUAUCACUGUUGAUGGGAGACAUGUUACAUCAUUUCCCUAUCGGACUGUGAGCAUCCUUAUCAUAUCUCCUUUUUCUAUGAUGAAUGUGGGACAUUUUAUAAUUGUUAAUGUGUGCUUAUAGGGAUUUGCUCUUGAGGAUGCUACUGGGCUGUCUGUGAAUGGGAAUGUUGAUUUGCACUUUUUGUUUGCUGCUUCUCUACCAACUUCACAUCCAAGUUUUGCUCCGCAAAAGCAUCUUGAGAUGUUAACUAAGUGGCGUGCGCCACCUCUUCCUGAUGGACAUGUGGAGCUUUUCAUUGGCAUCCUUUCUGCUGGCAACCAUUUUGCUGAGCGGAUGGCUGUCAGGAAGUCGUGGAUGCAACACAAGUUAAUAACAUCUUCCAAAGUAGUGGCUCGGUUUUUCGUUGCACUGGUAAGGGUAGAUACUAGAUACAUAUCUUGCAUCCAAAUUGAUCUUUUCCAUGUAUGGUAUAAGCUGAAAGCACUUGCAUUUUUUUAAAAUUUUUUUCAGCAUGGAAGAAAGGAAGUAAAUUUGGAUCUAAAGAAAGAAGCAGAGUAUUUUGGUGAUAUUGUCAUAGUUCCUUACAUGGAUGCUUAUGACCUUGUUGUACUGAAGACUGUUGCAAUCUGUGAAUAUGGGGUGAGUGGUGGCACAAAACCAAACUCUUUUUUUUUUUUUUGUGGUACAUAUAACACAUGGCCACUGUAUUUAUCAACUGUGAAUAUUUUUCCUUGAGUGGUUUUCUUUGUUGCCCUAAGGAAAAAAUAGAAGUCAUAAUUUCCCCAAUGUUUAUUUCUGCUUACAGGUUCGUACAGUGGCUGCAAAUUAUAUCAUGAAGUGUGACGAUGAUACAUUUAUUAGGGUGGAUGCUGUAAUGAAGGAAGCAAGGAAAGUCCGUGAAGACAAGAACCUAUAUAUUGGGAACAUGAACUACUACCACAGGCCCCUCCGCCAUGGUAAAUGGGCAGUGACGUACGAGGUACUAAUUCUUGUUAAGUUUUGCAAAUUUGAGAUGUUCCAUUUUCUUAAUUUACUUUUUCUUGCUCUAUAUAGCUUUCAUUUUUGUGCAUUGGCUUGAUUUAAGUUUACUUGCUUCUACAUAAAUUAAUUUUGAUAUUCUCUAUAUUGAAUUAUUUGAUUUUUUUGGGGUAUAUUAUCAAAUACCCACCAAAAGUUUCCUGACGUAUCAAUUAACCACCAAGGUUUCCUAAAAACUACAUUUUACCACCUAAUUUUUUGCUGUUAUAUUUUACCACCAAACCCUUAACUUUGUUAAAAAUUGCUGAGGUCACAAGGGUAUUUGAGGAACUUUAAGCUGAAGUAAAUUUUCUAGUUAUUUUGCCGAUUUUUAUCAUUUUCUUUGGACAUCUGAUUUACAACCCCCCUUUUUUUGUUUUCUUUAUUUCUGUUCUUAGAAUUUUAUUGUAUUAAAAUAUUUCCAUAAUAGAAUUUUAUAUUAUUAUAUUUAGGGUACAUUUGGGAGUGAUGUAUAGCAGAUAGGCUACCAAAGCCUAGCUGUCAAGGUGUUUGGUAAAACCUUACAAUUGGAUUUUUUAUAGCUCAACAAUUAUUUUUUCUUAGUUCUACUCCACAAUUAUGACUUUUACUCCAGAACAGAUGUAGUUUAAAAGUUACAGCACCUCACUUCCAAACGCACUCUUAAUUGCUUUAAUUAUAAUUGAGCUUAAUAUGGUGAAAUUUGUAUGUACAUGUGUAAAUAAUAUCACGAAUUAGUUUGUUUAUGGAUGCGUGAAAAAUUUGGGGAUAUUUUAAUAUAAUAAAAAUUUAAUAAUUGAAAUAAAGAAAAUGAAAAAAAAAACCUCAUAAAUCAGAUGUCUAGAGAAAAAGAUAAAAAACCGUAAAAAAAAAAGGAAAAAUAAGAAAAUAACUUCAGCUUGAAAUUCCUUAAAUACCCUUGUGACCUAAGCAAUUUUGAUAUAGUAUUAAGGUUUUUAUGGUAAAAUGAUAGUAGCCGAAAAGACAAAAUGUAGUUACCAAAAAACCUUGGUAGUGAAUUGACAUGUCGGGAAACUUAUGGUGGGUAUUUGAUAAUAUAUGGGUGGUGGGGGGAAUCAUACCGAAAAAUCUAAAUUCUCUUCCCCCCCCCUUCCCCACCCACCCACCCAAAAAAAAAAAAAAUGCAUCUCCGUCAAACUGAAUAUCCGUGCUUUAGAUUGACACAGUAUCAAGGUCUCCUUCUCAUGCGUGGACAGUACAUUUAGUUUGUGUUAAGAUAAGGGAAUAACUAUUGCCAUUACAUGUUGACCUCUGUCUGCUUACAAUACUGAUUUGAUUCUUAGGAUUCUCUUCCUGAAUUCAAGCCUCAAGGAAAAUGCUCUCCUCUUGGUUUUAUUAUUCACCCAUCUACUAUUGUGUUUUUAGAAUGUAGCAUAUAAAGGUGUGAUAAACACAUUUUACCUGUGGAAAGUUGGAAUAUUUUUGCUGUUAUUUUUAGAUUUUUCCCUUGCCUAUAGCUUGUAGAAUUGAAAGGAAUUCUGUCUUUCAGGAAUGCUUCAUGCUGCUGUCCUGUUUUUGUCUUGAUAUGUACUGGAGAAUGGAAACAAAACACCAGUGAAUUUUCAUCAUGAAUGACCAUUAUCAAACUAUGAUUUCUUAUUCACUCUGACUUCUGGAACGUUAUUUUGCCCAUGACAUGAACAUAUGCUUACAUCUUUCUUUUCUGCUGCAUUGCAGGAGUGGCCAGAGGAAGAAUAUCCACCAUACGCCAAUGGUCCAGGAUACAUUGUGUCUUCUGACAUCGCACAGUUUAUAGUAGCUGACUUUGAAAAACACAAGUUGAGAGUAAGUCAUUGAUCAACUUAUGGCGAUGAUUAGAAUCUGCCUUUUCUUUCUGUGCAUUAUUUUUGAAGCAGAUGUCUGUGUAGGAUUAUUGAUUCAUUUAAACAAAUGUGUCUGUACAGUUGUUCAAGAUGGAAGAUGUGAGCAUGGGAAUGUGGGUGGAAAAGUUCAACAAUUCAAAACCAGUGGAGUAUGUACAUAGCUUGAAGUUUUGCCAGUUUGGGUGCAUUGAAGAUUAUUACACUGCUCAUUACCAAUCUCCGAGACAGAUGGUGUGUAUGUGGGACAAAUUGCAAAAUCAAGGAAAGCCCCAGUGCUGCAACAUGAGAUGAUAAUGAAGAUAUUAUCCAGUUUCAAUCAAGUAUGUUAAACUUGAGAAAGUACAGAGAAACAAUUUUGCAGUCAAUAGUUUAUCUCUGUAUAUAUUUAGUGGGCCGUUCAAACUAGUUUUAUGGGGGCUGCUUAUGCCCUCUUCUGGAAUUCAUUUCAUUAUUUGGCAAUUUUGCUAUGUAGUUCUCUUGUUACUCAAAUGGCUUCAUAAUGCCAAAAGAACAGGGCUGCCAGAGGGAUGGUGGUUAGAUUAAUUACAGAGAACAUAUGGACUGUAAUCAAAAGAGUAGUGAAGCACAGGAGCAAGAUGUAUUUACCCAGAUGAAUUGGACUUUUAUACAAGGUGCAUUUGUAGAUGACUCGUGGAUUGUAAUCGAAAAGAAUAGAGAAUAAUGAAAUCAGUCGUCUCUCUCUGAUAUUAGAACUAGAAAUUUGUGCGUAUGCGUGGGGGGAGAAGGGAGUCCAGUCCUUCAGUCGUUCAGUCUGGUCAAUGCCCGAUUUCUCCCGGCCAGGGGUACCACCACCACUAGUUCUGGUCUCCAAGACGUUUUGCUUUUGCAUUACCAUUUCUUGAAUCCAAAUCCUAAAUUAAUUUACAGCUCGUUCGACCUACUUGGGUUAUUCUGCUGACCUCUUUGGUUUGUCUUUUCUAGCAGCUCUAACCGUAAUAUAUUUUUAGCGACGGUCACUAUCCGUGAUCACUACUUCCAAGCUUCUCAUGUCAAUUUUUAGGAAGAAUCGGAGAUAAAGGUAGAGUCUGCUGCAUCGAAGUGCGCUGGGUAUAUUUGAAAAUAAGAGAAUAAAACCCAAUAUAUAUAUAUAUAUAUAUAUAUGUAAAGCGUUUAAUUCUACGUCGCUCGCCGAGGAAAGUAGGAAUAAAGAUGCAACCUUUAUUAGUGAUGAAAGAACAAAUGAUUCGCUCUGUGGACAUGGUGAAGGAACCCAAUUCCUUGAUCCCGUUUCUAUUACUUUCAUUAUUUCCCACGCGCACGCAGGCUGUAGAUGCCUUCUUUACAAGAUGCGCCCCGCAUCACCUUCACCUUAAAUUAAUUCUUCUGUGUCGUGUAUAUAAUUUACGAGAAAGUUAGGUCAUCAGCAGCAAUUCAGCCCCCAGAUUUUGUAUUUCUUUUUAAAUUGGGCAGGGAUCGGUGGACAGCCAUAUUCCCGGUUAAUGUGGAUGGAGGCCCCCCCCCCCCCUUUUUUUUCUAAUAUGAUUUUGACCAUUAAUUUAUUUAUCUCAAAUGUUCAAUACUGAAUCUUAAUUUAUAUUUAUAAAAUAGAAUUUAGACAAAUUUUAAAUUGUAAUAUUAAAAACAAAUAAAAAAAAUAAAAAUUGUGUAUAAUAAACUAAGACAAAGCAAACCAUUUCUUUUCUUUUUUAAUGAAAGAGGCGAAAAAUAAAAAUAAACUAAAAACUUUGGAACAUUUUUAAUACGGUUCUUCCAUUACGUAAUUUUACCUUUGCCGUCUGUCGCAAAUUACAAUCUACAACAAGAACAAGAACAAAGCCAGAAUCGAAGCCAACGGAUAGACCGACCAUGUCACUGCAAGAUCAAAUUGAUCCAUAAAAGUUAAAAGCAUUAAUAAUACAAACCAUGGAAAGAAAUAAUCAAAGAUACAGAAUGAAUUGAGGCACGUACCCGUCUGCCGUGGGAGAGCAUUAUUGAAAGCUGCUUCGAAGUAACAAUCUGUUGUUGUGUUGAUUCCACUGGGACAGUUACAAAUAAAGGAAUUGUAAGCGACAGCUGAAUACCCACAGGCUCCGUUGCUCUUCUCACAGUUGGCACAGGGGCCUGGAUAGUCAUUAUACACAUUAAACUUGUAUUUAAGCGCUAUCCCAUACUUCCAAUUUUCAGGAUUAUAAUCCUGCCCGUCGAAGCUAUAGAACGCAGAGUACGAGGAGCAUUGCAGCUUCUGCAAAUCCAUCUCAAACGAUGGCCCUAGAUCCACGGGAGUGUAAACACAGCACGUAGAAAUCGGGAGGUUCAACAUACUAAUUGCUCUGCAUGAAUACAAAAAGCUGCAUAUGGAUGCACCUUUUUUGUCACAUAAAGGGACUGCACUGGUGUUGGUGUCAUAAGCAUUAUUGUUUGAUUUAUAAAUAGGCGACGAGUCGAUUGAACAGUCGAGUAGCGUGAAGACAUCAUCGUCGUGAAAAGAGAAGGGGCCGUCCCAGUCAAGGCCGAAGCCUUUGCUUGGCUGAGUGCACGCACAUGUUGACAUGGAAGCAUCUGUGACGUACAUCACUUGAUUUGAAUAGUCUAUGUUGGUGACAGGAUAGCAACCGGUGUGCGUGGUGAAGGUGAGCUUUUGGUCGUUGCAUGUUAUGUAUUUUUGGAAACGGGCAUCUCCACAGCCGGGGCCGGAGCCAAAUGGGUACUUGAGGGGUAUUUUGCCGCAGGUUCUUUGGCAAGCUUGAGAUGACACUAAAAGGGGAACAGAGAUUGAAGAGAUGCAGAGGAAGAGAGUUAUACAAUAACGUGUUGGCUUCAUGUUGUGGAUAUGGAGAGAGGGAGACAGGAUUGAGAUGCGAAGAGAGAUUGAUGAUCAGUGGUGCGUGUGUACUAACUGCCACUCUUUUGUGUGUAUGGGUGUUUGUAUAUUUAUAUACAUUAUCUUGUGAAAGAAGAUAGCUAAGCUUGUUGUUUAAGAUGAAAGGAAAUUAGUAAGAAAUUAAGCAGGAGUAAGCGGGGAGGUAAUAUUGUAGAAAGAAAGAAAAUAGAAGUGAAUGGAGAAAGUUUUUCGCUAUUACUAGUAUUCAGUCAUUUAUUUAGAAAAAAAAAUGAUAUGCACCCUAUUAAUUAAUUAACCCAACUCAUUCUUAUUUGGGUAAAUUUUUUUUUUAUCAAUUUUAUUAUUUAUUUAAAUUUUAAGGAUAUUUAUCAAAAUAUUUUAACUUUUUGUUUGUUAUUGUGUGAAGUUGAAGUUGUUUGCCCCUCAUUACUUUUUUUUUUUUUAUAAUGUAGGAGGUUAGCCAAAGAUUUCUAAUAUUCAGGUGUCAAACCAAAUAAAAUUACUUAGAAAUUAAUUAGUCAAAUUCUUUAAUUAGAUGAUAGAUGUGUAAGCUCCUUUUUCUUUCUCUCUUUUUUUUUCAAAAAAAGUAAAGAUAGAACAAAUUGAUGUCUUUUGAAAAGAUUGAUCAUAUAGAACACCAUUCUUUUAAUAUCUACAUAUAUAUGAUAAGUUUAUACAAAUUACUCAUAAUUUCAAUUCAUAUACUUUUUUAAAAGGAUUCAUUUGGUUGAGUGAUGAAUUAGAAUAUAUUGUAUCCUCUCUUUUUUUUUUUUUUUCCCCUCUUGUUUUCCUCCUUACCAAACAAGUAUUAUAAGGGAUUGACUUUAUUACUUUCGGUGUUGAAGUGGCUAGCUUUUAUUUUGAUGCUUUAAAUUUCUCCAUUACUAGAUGCCUUGUUUUUUUUUUUUUUUGCUAACUUGUGAAGCAUAUGACUUCCGUACUAAAAUUAAAAAAAAAAGUGAUGAAAAGGUAGAGGAAUGAACUCCGGUGUUUCAGUUUCACUUCUUAAUUCGUGUAUAAUUAAAUAGAUCAAAUCUAUUUCUUUUUAAUUAUCAAGAAAAUAAUCUAUAGUGAUUUUAAAAAGAAAAUAAUCUAUAGAAAAAUUUAACAAGAAACAAAUUAGUCCCCUGUGAGUUCUGAGAGGCGACUGUUGGUAAGAUCAAUUAAAACUUUAGUAUAUGAAUUGAAUGCCCAAAAGAGCUCAAACCUCAAAAUCCAACUUGUAAACAGAACACACACUCUCUCUCUCUCUCUUUCGCCGCCUUGAAGAAACAAAAUAAGGACAAUACACAUAAUACUGAACAAGUAAGAUUGAUCGACAGCAGUCAAAUUAUUUAAUAUAAAGAGAGAACAAUUAACGAUUAAACUAAAUAAACGAUACGAGAAUCUCAACAUUAAUGUUCGUUCGUUUGGUUUCUAGUAAGUUCAUAUGACAUGCUUCAAUAUGCUACGUACAUGUGCAUCGCAGUUCGGUUCUUCGCGUUAUUUGAUUUAGAUAUGAAUGAUUUAUUCAUGAAUGCAUGUUGGACUGAUGAUCUAAUUAAUCCUGGUUUUAUUUUUAUGUCUUCGCGUUCCAUUAACAAGCUUGAAUGUCGAGGGUUGAUCUGACACUGGUAGUUUUUAAAAAGUAUUAUUACUAGACAGUGGAUAUACCAAGUGUCAGUGUAUGAAUUAACAAAAUUGAAAACAAUGUCUUUUAAAUGGACUUGUUUAUUACAUUGUAUUCGAAAUAUAACAUAUGUUACACGUCUACUCCUCCACCCUGGAAACAAGGGUAGCCAUUGAAGGUUCAUCAUUUGAGCGAUAAUGAGUGCAUCAUUAUUCCAAGGGCCUCAAGAAAGGCAAAAGAGAGUUGGAUCAAUAUAAGAUCAAAGUGCACAUAUCUAAAUAUAUGUGCUUUUCCAGGUCUUCUUAAUUUUAAGAGAAUCAAUUCAUAUUCUACCAACAUUUCAGCAAAUUUAAGGAAGCUGGGAUUCAUAUGGUGGUUUAGCAGGGGCCGGCUGUGUCUGUGUGUUUAAUUAAGUACAGCUGGAGGCAUCUUGCAUUAAACAUCAAUAGAAAAUAUAAUCUUUUCUUGUAGUGGAGACAAUCUUUCCAAAUAAAAUUCACUAGUGAUUCGUAUUUUUUGCUGUUGUAGGACAGCUCUAUGUGGCUGCUGUUAGCUCCUUUUUCAACUUUACUUCGCUUCGAUCGAAACGGCUUCAGUACCAUCCAUUCACAGAAAAUGGUUUUUAAGAUUGGGCACUAAUACUGAAGGACCCCUUAAUUGUUAAGGGGAUUAUUAAUUCGAGAAAUCAAACUUUUACCGCUAAUCCUACUCUUCUUUUUUUUUUUUUUUUUUUUUUUUUUUAACACUAGCAAGCAUCUUUAACCGGUAGCAAUGGGAAAUGAUCAAUCCCCUCUCAGGCCCUCAGAAAAAUUUCAAAAAUAAAAAAUGAAUAUUAAAUAUUAGUGCCCUCCAUCCGAAUUUCAGCAGUCAAAGCCCAUUAUAGAUAAGAUAGCCCAUGAUCCACAUUCCAUUGGCCAAGACUCUGUUACCCAUUGAUAGAUCAAAAUGGGCUGAGAUUGAAGUUGGGUCGAGCAGAGACCAAGGGGCCAAUGUACACACGGUACACGUUAAGCAAUUAACAACUCUCGCUAUUAUUUCUCAGAGACAAUUUAUCAAACGGUUGAGUUUAGACCUGAGAAAGAGGUUUCAGCUUGAUUUUGGUAAUUUGGCCUCGCUAUCGCGUAUCAGUUUGUUCUAAGUAGAAGAAGUAAAAUAAAGGGACUUCCAAUCACUAUCUAGCUAAAGGUGCCAUUAUUUUUUUUGUCAAAUGUCAAUGGUUUGUUUUCUGUUUUCUCUCAUCUGAUUCUGGCACAUUAAGUUUGGUUUCCGUUUAAAAAUAAUAAACUGGUCACUGAAAAAUGAAAAAUUUAGUUUCUCUAUUGAUUUAUACGUAGAAUAAAUAACAGACAGAUUGUUUCGCUUGCCAUGAUAUUGCGUGUCCAUUUUUUUUCUGUAAAGUGAAAUGCAUAGUGUAAAUGCUUAAGUCUCUUUCUCUACUUUUUGAUAAGUUGCCUCUGAGAAAUAAUAUUGGAGUGGCAGGUGUUUGACAAAAAGCUUGUAAGGAAGUUUUUAAUUGCUUUUCAUAUGUGAUAAACCCAAGAGUGAUAAUGAACCUAUAGAGAUCAUGAGAUUCUCCAUAAAAAACCUCGAAAACUUAUUGAAAUUUCUCUUUAGGUUGAAGUUCUAUUUCUUGUUUUUGAAACCAAACUUGAGGAUGAAACUUUGAUUCUCAUAGAACUUGUGUGACCCUUGUAAAAAAUCAUAAUUCUUUUAAUGCUUUGAUAAUUAUUCUAGAAUGUAUUGAAUUAUUUUAUGAACUGAAACAUUUUGAUCUCUUACUGGUGGAUUGAAAUGUAGCAAGCAUAUCUUCUGUUAACAUUAGGUUGUUUCAAUGAAACAGGAAAUGAAAAUAAGAUGGAGAGGCAGUUAACUCAUCCAUCAUGUCUGCUGUGUCAAGAUACAAGCUAUUGCCUUUUCACACUAGCAGAUUUGGGAUAUGACACAAUCAGUACUACUUCACAGGUGAUGGAGUGAUGGAGAAGUCUCUUUCCUUCAGCUCUUCCACUUGGAGGGGAGCCACUGCAUCUCCGAGUACAGGGUCUUACAAUCUCUUAUGAUGGAUUUCUCUCACAAACAUGAAGAGGUGUACUAUCUUUACUUUUUACCAUUGUUUACAACCAAAUACUCAUCAUUCCAAUGUGGGUAUUUUUCCACAUUGUUUGCGGUUCUUCUUCUUCAGAGGAUAUUUGAGCCAAAGAUCAUUUGCCUUGGGUUCAACAAAUACCAGGCCUUUCCCUGAUUAUUCUCCUAAGAGACCUACCAUUAGAGACUCGGAAAUCGUCCAUCAAAUUUCAACUGCGAUAAAGUUACGCUGCUCUGAGCCUCUUCGACACACUUUGAAGCCGUUUGAAUCCAAAUUCAGAUCAGACCAUCUAAUUUGGGUUCUUAUGGACAUUAGGAGUGACUACAGGCUGGUUUUGGAUUUCUUUGACUGGGCAUGCUUGCGCAGGGAGCCAAUUCUGGAAGCCCGUUGUAUUGUAGUUCAAAUCUCUGUCGCUGCAAAAGAUCUAAAAACGGCUCACGGGCUUAUUCAUGACUUUUGGGCAAAACCAAAUUUGGAUGCCAGCAUUGCAUUUACUCAUUUUGUUGAGCGGUUAAUUUAUACUUACAAGGACUGGGGUUCAGAUCCCCAUGUAUUUGACAUUUUCUUCCAGGUUCUUGUUGAAGCUAGAAAGCUCAAUGAAGCCAGAAAACUUUUCGAAAAAUUGUUGAAUUAUGGGUUGGUUAUCUCCGUUGAUUCUUGUAACUUAUUUCUUAGUCGUCUAUCAAACACCUGUGAUGGACUUCGAAUGGUAGUGAAGAGUUUUACUGAAUUUCCUGAACUGGGUAUCUGUUGGAAUACUGCAUCUUACAAUAUUAUGAUUCACUGUCUUUGCCGUUUCGGAAAAAUAAAAGAAGCACAUCUUUUACUCCUUCAAAUGGAGUUGCGGGGCUGUUCUCCUGAUGUUGUAAGUUUUAGUACUAUAAUCAAUGGGUACUGUUAUCUUGGGGAACUACAGAGGGUUUUGAAGCUCAUAGAAGAGAUGCAAAUAAAAGGAUUGAAACCAAACCCAUAUACAUACAAUAGCGUAGUACGUCUUCUUUGUAAGACUAGCAAAGUUGUGGAAGCUGAGACUAUCUUGAGAGAGAUGAUGAACCAGGGAAUAGUUCCUGAUAAUGUGAUUUACACGACUCUCAUUGAUGGGUUUUGUAAGAUGGGCAAUGUUGCAGCUGCCUAUAGAUUGUUUGAUGAAAUGCGGGGUCUUAAUAUUAUUCCUGAUUUGCUAACAUAUACUGCUAUUAUCUGUGGGUUUUGUCUAACUGGAAAGAUGGUGGAAGCCGAAAAACUCUUCCAUGAAAUGCUUGGUAGAGGGUUGGAGCCAGAUGAAAUUGUUUAUACAGCACUUAUUGAUGGUUAUUGCAAGGCAGGUGGGAUGAAAAAAGCAUUUUCUCUACACAACAAUAUGGUUCAUAUGAGGCUUACUCCAAAUGUUGUCACAUACACUGCACUGGCUGAUGGACUUUGUAAAAGUGGGGAGCUAGAAACUGCAAAUGAGCUUCUUCAUGAGAUGUGCAGAAAGGGCCUUCAGCUUAACAUUUACACUUACAACUCAAUUGUCAAUGGUCUUUGUAAAGCAGGAAAUAUUCUGCAAGCUGUAAAACUAAUGGAAGAUAUGGAGGUGGCAGGGUUUCAUCCUGAUACUUUUACUUAUACCACCAUAAUGGAUGCUUAUUGUAAAUCUGGGGAGAUGGUUAAGGCUCAUGAACUUCUGAGGGAUAUGCUGGAUAAAGGGCUUCAACCCUCAGUUGUCACAUUCAACGUGCUAAUGAACGGGUUUUGUAUGUCUGGAAUGAUUGAAGAUGGUGAGAAGCUUCUAAAAUGGAUGUUAGAGAAAGGUCUAAAGCCCAAUGCUGCCACCUAUAAUCCUCUGAUAAAACAGCACUGCCUUAGAAAUGAUAUGCGUACCACGGCUAAAAUUUAUAAGGGCAUGUGUGCUCAAGGAAUCACACCUGAUGGUAACACCUAUAACAUUUUACUACAAGGGCAUUGUAAAGCAAGGAAUAUGAAAGAAGCCUGGUUUUUGCAUAAAGAAAUGGUCCAGAAGGGAUUUAACCUCACAACAUCUUCCUACAAUGCUUUAAUCAAGGGCUUCCUUAAAAGAAAAAAAUAUUUGGAGGCAAGGGAACUAUUUGAAGAAAUGAGAAGAGGGGGUCUGGUUGCUGAUAGAGAAAUUUACUACUUCUUUGUUGAUAUCAAUUUUGAAGAAGGGAACAUGGAAAUUACUCUUGAGCUUUGUGAUGCAGCAAUAGAGUGUUAUCUAGUGGGAAAGGCAACAGACGAGAACAAAUAGCUGGGAUAUUUACUCCAUGAUGAGGAUUACAGUGGAGAUUUGGUGUCUCGUGAAUUCAAAAAGGCUUCUGGUCGUUGGCUACUAUAACAUUUGCAACAUCUUCUCAGAAUCAUGGUAAUGUUUCUUUUUAUCUUCUAUUGUCUGCGAUGGGUUUAUCAAUUGUUUUGUAUAGAAUUUAUGAUGUGCAAGUUAUCUUUGUGAGGGAGCUUUCUGAUUAUUGUGGUUAAUUUGUGAACUUGAGGAUGUGAUUCCUAUGAUUUUCUUGAGCUACUAAUGUCUUCAUAAAAGGAAUAAUUUGUUUUUACAAAUGCAUGGGCCAGAAGACCAAAACCUGCACUUGAGUUGACUCAAGCCUCAUAAGCUAGGAAAUGGGAAAUGGAUCCCGAAGUGAAGUUUGACUAACAAUGCACAGAUGCAUGGAUAGACAUCAGCCAGGUGAUGUAUCUGAAAGUGUACAAAAAUACUGUAUCUAUUGCUUGCUUUUUCUAUGGCUAUUAAUGCCUACAAAUAUCCAGGUCACCAACAUGGAAGUGAUACUCAGCUGUCGGCAUUUGUGGAUGCUUUGCAGGACAUAUGAGGCUGACAGAACUAGCUGACACUGUGGUUUCUUUAUUGGUAUCCUAGUAUGCUCAUCGCCGUCAAAAGUAAAGACAUAGGUAUCUCAUAUACUAAGAAGAUUUGCUGCUAUUGAAAAAGAAUUUGAAAUUGUUUCUAAAUCUCAACCAUGGAGUAACUUGAACUGAUGCAGCAAUUUAGGUGCUAGGUGUCAAAUUUUCUGGUAAAGUUGGAAUAGCUUGGUGCCAAGCAAGAUGAAGAUACAAUGAUUGGCACACUUGUAACAAAAUUUCAGGUAGAAGCCUUGCAAAAGCACAUUUGGGUUACUGCUGAACUAAAAUUGCUGUCCAGCCAUGGCAAGAAUGAAUAUUAUAUUGGAAGUUGAUCUGGACUGCAUUGACAGUGAAAACCAACUUAGAUGAACAAUUACCGAUUUUUUACCUGGCUUACUGAUGAGUCAAUUGUCGCUACCCUUCUUUAAGCGCAGAAUUUCUUAUUGUAUGAAUAAAACAGCAAUUUUUUCAGUGCUAUGGCAAGUCGACAAGGUUUCACCGCAUAGAGGAUUAACUUCAUAAGAGAAGCACAGACAGGAUCAGAUACGUGCAUGGCUUGAAACUGUUGAUGCAGCUGCAAAUCUUUGGCGGUCGCAAUAGCCACUCCCAUUAUAAUGAGAGCAAAAGGCUAUAGGCUUCUCCGGGGGUGAAAGAUCGCUCUGUACCGCGGAAAAUAAACAUAGUAAUCUAUUAAAAGCAUAAGCCAGUAAAGAUGGAGAUAGGAAAAAAGGAGCUUAAUUAAGUCUCUGUUGAAAAGCAGUACGCAAUUGCAAAACAAAAGGAAAACAGAAAGACAACCACCCAUCAUCCCUCAGAUGUAGGAGCUAACAAGAAGGUGGCAACAAUAAAACCCGUUCGUACUUCCGAAAGAGUCACUUAAAAGGGCCAGCCUUAAUGACACAGUCUUUAACUCCCUUAACCCAAGAGGAGGACAAGGACCAUCAAACAUUUUUUUUUUUUGAAACUGAUUAAGCAUCAGGUUACUGUAUUACACAGAGAUAUAUACAACUGUUAUGACAGCAGGUCAUUACACUGAUAUUUACAAUCAGAUAUAUAUACAUGGGACUUAUAUUAUUACAUUUUUAUUCUAUGAAGUACAUGUCCAUCCAAAUACCCCUCACGGAAGAGGACCAUCAAACAUUGAUCUGGUGCGAGAGCGAUCUUUAAUGAUGGGCGUAUGACAAUAACUUGACGAAAAUUGAUGUACGAUUUGACAGGGGACCACAUUGUAGCCUACAAAUGUUUGAGUGUCAUCAAAGCUGUCCAAUCAUUCCCGCCAGAAUUUUUUAGGAUAGAACAACUAAUAUUAUUGUGAUAUGUGUUUAUUUAUUUUAAAUUAUUAUCUUAUAAGUGAUGGUUGUAUUAAAAUUUAAUUAUAUAUAUUAUAUAUAUAUUAAUUGAUUGUAGUAUAUAUACGAAGUAUUCCAUAAUUUCUCCGUUCCCGCAUUUGAUUCUACUUUUUUACACCAAAUAACAUUCAGUUCCUUUAAUUUUUCCGAAAAUUAUAUAAAUAGGUAUAAUUUGAUAAACAAUUUCAUAUACAUCCUCAUCGUAGCGCCGUAAUAUUUUGUUUAUCAAUAGGCGUUAUCGUUAACGGAAUUAUUUGCAUUUACAAUAUUCAUUUUUCAUAGUGCCAUUACAACGUCUAUUCACGUUUUUUUUUUAAUUCUUUUUCCCCAUAAAAGCAAUAUUCUCCUAAUUAGAUAGUAAGGGUUUAAGAAUGUAAGCUUAAGUUAGGCAAAUAAAUAAAUAAUAUUAACAUGUAAGAAAUAAAAGUUUUAAAUAAAGAUAUUUUAAUAAUUUUUGAAAGAAAAUUAAUCUUAAAAAAAGACCUAUAGAUAUAAAGAUCAAAACAAAAUUUAUUCAAAUGUUCAAUUACAUUCAAUUGAAUUUUUUAAGUAAAAAAAUAAUUCUUCAAAAUAUUAUUUAUUUAUGUUAAUUUUUUUAAAUAGUACUUUUACCAGUAAAACACAAGUGUAGUUUGUUUUUAACCUAAUAAAUUUCGAUCAUGUGUGGAAGUAAGGUGUUGUAUCUUAAAAACUUCACCUGCCGUAGAAAAAAAAUUAUAAUUAUAAAAUAAAAAUUAAUAAUAUAUAAUAAAUAUAAAUUUUAAAUAAUAAUUUUAAUAAAAUUAUUAAAAAUAAAAAAUUAUAUUAAUAUAAUUUCCAAUCUACAAUAACUAAUAUUUAUCCAACAAAGAGCGUGUUAAAAGUUGCAGCUGCGCCAACCCCAAGAGCAAAAGCACCCGAGAGAAGAAGAUUAGAAAUAGUAUCCUUGUUUGCGAUUUAACGGAAACCCCGUAACUCAGAUGGUACUAUCUCAUGCCGAAGCCGCGACCGACUAGUGUUACAUUUACAUAGAGCGAGGGAGAGGCAAAAACUCAGAGAGAAAAAUGGAAGGAGUGAAAUUAGAGAGAUGGGGUUACGAAGUUAAGACAUCCUCUGAUUCUUGCAUCUCUGCCAUCAACGCCUACUAUCACCAGGUAUUUUUCCCUUUUUUUUUCAAAAACAAAAAUUAUUGGGUAUCUGAAACUUGAUUCAUACGAGUAAUUAAGGCUUGUUUUACAAUGAAUGAAUGAAGGUGCUUAGUUAUGGGAGAGAGAGGCGUGUGAUAUUAGAAGCGGCUGAGCAUGACAAAGAUUGUGUUUUGGCUAAUAUUUUGGCUGCUCAGUUCCUAUCAUCCAGUGAUUCUUUUAAAGCUUCUUUGCAUAUUCGGGCAGCUAAGUCUCGUCUGGUAAAUUUUUUUUUUUGUAUUUUCUUUUUUUUUUGGGUCCAUGUUUGGAAAACUUCCAAAAUUACCAUAAAAGAUUAAUCAAUGAAGAUAGAAUUUUGUUUGAAAUAGGAUGAAGCUACAAGAUACGAGAAGGCAGUUUUCUAUGCUGUCUGUUAUUUGAUUUCUGAUGACAGAGACGAUGAAGUGGCCGUUGCGUCACACUCUAAGGUGGGAAAUUUUUUAAUUGACUUUCUUAUUAAGACUUGAAAACAUAUUUCGUUGAGUCACACUAUAAGAUGGCAAAGUUUUAAAUUCAGUUUCUUGUUAAGACUUAAAAUCAUAUCUUCUUUUGAAUUCAUUAGUUCAUCGUUCAUCUUAAUUCCCUGCCCUGAAAUACAUUACCAAGACAGUCAAUACUUUGAUUAAAGUUUCCCUUUAUCUUAAUCUAAUGGAUUUACUAUGAAUUUUAGCCUAUCAUGCUGUUUGUUGAUUGUCUUUCAUGUUGAGGUUGCACUGGACCACAGGAAGUUCCCAUUUCUAAACGUAAUUGUAGAAACUAGUUGAAUUUUAGUUUAAUUUCCUUGUAUCUACUAGUAACUGUUCAGCUUGUAUUUCUUGUUACAAGCCCAUGCUGUAAAUUUGUUUUUCCUCAAAACAUCCAUCUGAUCAGGUCUUGCGACCAUAACUUUUCCAAACUAUGUAAUGUUUCUGGAGUUAAGAGCUAUCGUGCUUGUGUCUCAACAAAGUGACCUAUAAACAUUAAACAAUACGGAGCAUGUCUGUUCUUGAAGGCUUAUAAAUUUGAAUGCUAUGUCCGGUGUUAACGUUCUAUUUAUUUUAUAUCUGAAUUGUGAAUAUUGCAUGUGUUGUGGAAACAUUUCAGUUAAUCUUUAACAUCGAUCUUUAUUUUGCUUUCAGUUUAGUUCUUAGCAUUUAUACAAGUUUUGUUAAUUGCAUAUGACAUUUGUUUCUUUUCCAGCUUCUGAAAGAGUUUCCAAGAGAUCUGCUUUCUCUGAAAAGGACCCAAAUACUCUGCUUCUACAUGGGCCGCCCUGAUCUGUGUUUCGAUAUUAUUCAUCAGGUUUGAUGUCAUCCAUUCAAUGAAUUGUCACUUAUGGUUCUUUAAAUAAAUUAGAAAGCUUCUGGCAUGCUUGUUUUGUGUAAGUACUGAUUAAGGAACAGAGACACAGUGAUUUGACAUUUUACAUAUAUGUAGCUCAGAAACUUCAGUUUUUCAUGAGAAUGACCUUCAGUGGUGCUGUCUCUCCUGGGUGCUAUAAUGAUUUGAAAAUUUUAUAGGUUCUGCCCUAUAAUCAACAAGAAGAUUUCAUAUUUGGCAUUCUUGCGUUUUCGUUGCUAGAGCUUGGACAGAUGUCAGAUGCUGAGGAAGCUGCUAAAAAGGGACUUAAAAUCAACAAACAUGACUGCUGGUCUCAACAUGCUGUGAGUUGCAGCUAUUUUGGUCUGCUUUAAGAAACAUUAUCCACCUUAUGUCUAUACUUGAUGGAAUUAUUUGUAAAUUUUGUUUCUCUAUAUAUCUAGAUUUUGAACCCAUCAUCCCUUUUCUCUUAGAAUGUUUGAAGUUGGUGUUAGCUAUCUUAGUAUUUCUGGUCAUGUCAGUUUGAAAAUAAACGUGGAAAGAACAUGAAUACACUCAAAUUCAAUUAUGGACCUAGCCUAGUUAUUUAGUACAAAUCACAUUUUUUUGUCAAAAGAUAAUUUCAGCAUACCCUGAAUUUUUUCAUCUGAACCCCUUGAACUUGAGGGAUAUUCUUAGUGUUUGGAUCUUUAUGCAGCUGUGCCAUGUUCUCCAGCAUGAUUGUUGUUUUAAAGAAGCAGUACAGUUCAUGGAAGAAUGCUCGUCCACAUGGAGUUCUUGUUCAUCAUUCAUGUAUGCAUAUUAAGCUAUUCAAGAGGUUUCUAAUUUCAUUUUCUUUUCUUUUAUUAUUUUUUAGAUGAGCAUGACUUUAAAUGUCCAGGUUUACACACAAUUGGUGGCACGUGGCGCUCUGUUACUUGGAAGGUCAUUCUCCAAUGAGAAAAGUCCUGGAGAUUUACGAUAAUCAUAUCUGGAAGGAGUUAGAGAAGCCUGAUGCUGUGCAUCCAGAGGUGUGCCAUUUUGUAAACUUUUCGGAUGACUGAAUUUUUUUUUUUAUUGCAUGUCUUAAGUCCUCUUGCAUUUAGGUGUACCUGAAUGCUCUGGGCUUGUUGUUGCGAGUUUAUGUACGGGGUGAACUUGACGUCUUUGGUAACCGUCUGAAGGUCUUAGCAGAUUGUGUUGCAGAUCAGGUGAGUAUACCAUCCAUAUUCUUUCCCCUAAAAAAUUUCAGUAAGCUGUUUUUGGUAAGAAUUUGAAAUCUUUUCAGUCACAGAUCUUGUAGGAUGCUGUUUUUAGAACAUAUGUUUUGGAUUUGUUUCUGUCUACAUUAGUAGACUGUCACCCUAAUGGGAGCUAUGAGAUCUUUCUGAAAUCUACGUGUUUUUUAUGUAUUAAUGGAGAAUGGCAGGUGUUUCUUUUGAAAAAUUGUUGUGUGUAGACCUCUACUGUUGUCUGUUUCCCCGCUUGGUUAGUUCACUACGAAACCUUAUUUUUAAGCGUGUGCGAGUUUCAGAUUUCAUUUGCUCUGGGAAGUAGGUAAUGACAGCAUGAACAGAACACACAUUCCGAGAAACAGUGUGAAGGCAUGAAUAUUAAUGCAUGUGACAUUGUUAAUUUGCAUUUAAAAUCAAGGUACAUGUAGCUUGAUUCACAUUUUUAAUGUGGCUUCAAAGUGUGUGAAAUUCUCUGUUUUCAGUCAGUGUAUGACUUGCUGGAGUUCGCCUAGUCAAGAAGUUUGCUGACGUGGUGACAUUAAUCUGUCAGCUUUGUUUGUCAUCCAGCUGCUUGUGUGUUGAUUUUUUCUUGUUACAGUUGCCUCCUUAUAUAGACCAAAGAAUUUGGAAAAUUAAAGCUUUUUAUGUCUGUUCCUGUCAACCAAAAUUUCAGAUGGUAGUGACAUGUGAAACAAUAUUCAUAUAACUUUUGGCAGUGUGCUAAAUUUCUAUAAUCUGAAGGCACUUACUUCCUAUGUGGACCUGUUGAAGUAAUGUUUAUCACAUGUUUUCACGAACUCAAUCAUCUGUAUAUGCCUUUUCCCAUCUAUGGUUUGCAUUUUCUUACUGUUUUGGGUUAUCUAUGUGUGCAUGAUGAUGUUCAGGCCAACUGGUAUUUAGAAUGCCAUCUUGAUUUGUUGAUAUUAUGGGCACUAGCGAAUACUGGAGAAGUUUCUAAAGCAGAAGAUCUACUUAAGGGCCUGAAGUCAAGGUAUGAAGAAUUAUCUUCUCUUGCAUAUUUCUAGGGAAUGGCAUUUAGUUAAUUGCAAUUAUUUUUCUUUUCUAGACACUCCAAGAUGAUCAAGAAGAAGCAGCAACUUUUGCAGACAGGAGUACAGGUUUCUUCUGAUAUCUGCUUUAUUUGCCAUUUAUCAUGAACUUGUCUUACCAAUUCAGUGAUAAAUUUUCCUAUUUAUAAAGCCACCUUGGGAGACAAAUUGGUCAGUAGAUACUUGUUUCUCUUAACAUGGGGUAGAGAGGUCGAGACCGUUCACCUUACUGGUGAAGCAACUAGGCCAUUGUUGUUAAUGUUUAUGUUGCAAAACCUCCAUAGGCUCUGUAUUUAAACUCACAAUAUCAUGCCACUCUUAUUUUGAGUAUUGCCAAUGUUUGUGCGUUAAAUUUUCCUAAACUGCAUUUGCAGUUUGCUUUGUCCUUGAAAAGGUGGAUUCUUCAGUUGAAAAAUCUGUGCGUUCUCUUAUCUUAUUUUGUUGUCAUUUUCAGCUUGCAGAAGCUCUCUAUGCGUACGGAAGGGGUAAUGAUGAGAAAGCAUUGGAAUUGCUUGGUCCAGAUUUUGAUGCCAAUGCUUGUAAGGUAAUAAUGAUGAGCAAUAAUUAGCCUUUGUAUUCUGGCUUCAUUUUCGAAUUUUUAAGACAGAAAAAUAUAACUUUUUACUUCUUAAUGCCAGAUGAUAGGGGCAUCUGAUGAGCAGUUAGAUGUAUUCAAUGAAGUUUGGUACAGUAUGUUGCUGAAUACUGGACGAGCUGCCAAGGGUAUGAUUCAUAGACAUGGAAUUCUAUCUUCACAGUGGUUCUUUUUCUGAUUUUUGUUUGAACUGCAGCAAUUGAAGUAAUUGAGAAGCGGAUCAAGAAGAGGGAAGGAGCUCCUUUCUUGUGGCGCCUGCUGGUAUAGCUCCGCCUUGCAUAUGCCAGUUUUUUGUUUGUACAGCUUGGAUGCCAGGUGACAAUAUUUCUUGCUCUAUUUGGUUCAGGAGAGAGCUUAUUCCAUGGUGGGCAGGCAAGAAGCGGCAGCUGUAAGUGAAAAGGCCAGGACAUUAGAAGCUGCAUAUUUCAAAUAAGCCUGCACCCAGCGCGAAACCAGAUAGACACUAGUAUUCUCCCUUCAUCUGGCCUUUAAGAAACAGGUUGAAUCGUGGUUCAACCAAGAUCCCUGCAAAAAUUAGCAUGAGGGGUGGGAAAUAAACACUGGGAGCUUUUGACAUUUAGUGUUCAUCAUGCAUCAUGUAAGAUAACCAUAAACAGAAAUAAUAAUUGCAACAAGAUGAUGGGUAAUUAUUGGGUAUGAACAUAUGGUUUAGUUGUAAUGGUUUUUUCAUUGUACAUUACUAUCUAUGACAAAGGUUAAAAGAUACAGCGGCUCAGUAAGACCCUAUUCCCAGUACAAAAGAAUAUUAUUUCCUUGAAACCAUGACUAGAAUUAGAAACUUACUUUAGCUAGGGGUAAGAUAAAAUGUUGUGCAACUCAUCGGUACGUGUAAUUUUGGUGGAAUUCCUGAGUUUGUGGUUAUGAAAAUUCCAUUAUUAAGCUUUUACGAAGACAACUUCCACAGCUGCAGAGGAGAAGAGAAGCACCAGUGGUCUAGUGGUAGAAUAGUCCGCUGCCACGGUACCGGGUUCGAUUCCCGGCUGGUGCAUGCAUUUUUGUUGCCUUUUGGCCUUUUGGCCUUUUGGGGCAUUUGUCAGAAAAUGCUAUCUCCACGUGCCUUCGUAAGUCACCAGCUUUUUUAAUUCGAGUGCUGCUAGGCAUCGAGAAAGGUGAGAGAAGCACGAGAGAAACGGCAGCACAUGCUGCCGUUUCGCUCCCACAAUCUCUCUCUUUUUUUAAUUUUAAAAAUUAAAAUAUUAAUUAAAAAAAUGAUAAAGAAAAUAGAAUCUUUUAUGUCAUUCCAUCUUUACAACUCUCUCUCACUAACUCCAUCUAACAGACCUCUCUCUCACUAUCUCGGUCGAGCAAGACCAGUGACAAUGACGACACGACCGCCGACGAUGAGAUGGUCAUCGCCAAAGAAUCAGGCUGUGUAUUUUACAAUUUCUUGGUUUGUGACAACAAUGGAAAACUCCUGAGAAUUUUGAAUUUGUAGUCGACCAAAAGAAGAAGCAAGUUAUCUUCAAAGCAUUUUCCAGUAAUAGCUGAUGAAAUUUAUUACUUCAAGCUGACCCUUCGCUGUCACAACCAGAUGCAUUUGCACUGUCAUUACAAUUUAUGGAAAUUAAAGUAACUAAUGGUUCUAAUUAAUAGUUUCCCAAAAAAAUCAAUCUGCCCUUGUGAGAACUAAAGCGUUAAUUUCUUGUAAGAGUUGCAGAAGGCCAGAGAAUUUCAGAUCCUGAAAAGGAGUGUGUGAGUGAGAGGUUAAUUUCUUGUAAGAGUUGCAGAAGGCUAGAGAAUUUCAGAUCGUGAAAAGGAGUGUGUGAGUGAGAGAGAGAUCGUGAAAUAGUGAGAGACAGUGAGAGAGAGAGCUGCUCGACAGAGAUGGUGAGAGAGUUACAAAAAUAAAAUAAGGAGCAGAUAAGAUUCUGUUUUCUUUAUUAUUUUUUAUUGAUAUUUUCAUUUUUUUAAUUAAAAAACAGUGAGAGAUUUUGGGAGUGAAACGGCAGCAUGUGCUGCCGUUUCUCUCGCCCUUCUAGAUAACGAGCAUUUUCCUUUUAAUUCAUAAAACUCUUGGACUGUCUCCAGAUCCAAGGCAUGCAUAUCUUGUGGAUGUGGUCCAGCCAUCCACACAAAUCGCAUCUUCCACGCACUUCUUAAUUGUUACCAGUAACCGCCCUUGAGCCUUCCCAUCCAAUUCCAACGAGCCGCUAGCUUAUAAUAACAACAACUUGGUUGGUCAAAGGCCGAAAGGACAAACUGUGUCAUUAUUUGUUUUCGGUCAUUUCAAUGUGUUAACACUCACUGACUCACAUCGGAAAGACCAAUAAAUAUCCAUGAAAAUGGGACAUGGCUACGGUGCAGAAGCUGCAAGUAACAGCUUCGAACCUUCUCAUUUCCAUAACCUUGCGUUGGGACCUCUUUCUCUCUCCUCUAGCACCCGUGAAAGUUUCUCAUUGGCUGCUGUUACUUACAGAAGCCGUAACAUAAAUGAUUCCGAACUGCCCAUUUCGUGCCCCUCUAACAGAGUCGGGAGAAUUGUGUGGGAUGUACCCUAUUCCCUUCAAAAUACCCAAUAUAUACCUAAAAUUAUAACACUCUUAAAUUUUACACAUAUAUACUCUAAAAAAUUAGAGAAAGUAUAAAAAUAACCACAACUAAAUCCUCAUAAAACUAAACCCAACUCCUUAAAAUCGGGUAAAUAGUCGAGAAUACUCGACUUCAAUCAAAUCAUACAUAAUUAAUAAUUCAGCAUAAAUUCUUGACUUUUUCAUGUUAGUCGGAUAAAUAGUCGAGAAUACUCGACUUCAAUUGAAAAAAAAAAUUAUCUAAAAAAUUCUCGAUUUUUUUAAGUAAGUUGAGUAAAAAGUCGAGAAUACCCUACUUUAAUUUAACUCUACCCAAUAUUCAUUCAGCAAAAAUUCUUGACUUUUCAUUGAAGUUCGGUAAUUGGUUGAGAAUACUCGACUUAAAUUGAAAUGAAAAUUUUUUUUUUAAUUAAGUCAGGUAAAAGGUCGAGUAUACUCAAUUUUGGUUGUGUUAUUAUGUAGAAGUCAUGAGAGAGGAAGUAAAAGUAAAUAAAUGAUUUUUUUAGGUUAUUUUUGAUUUUUUACACUUUUAGGAGGUAUAUGUAUGUAAUGGGGUAUAGAUUUGGCAUUUAAAGACAAAUAGGGUAUAUUUAAAUAAAAAACCCAUAACAGUCAAACGUUCACAUUAGGGACGUGGUUCACAUCCCCUACAUUCAUCUGGAUCUAAUUAUAAAUACAAACCCCACGAAGCAAGAGUCAUUUCAUUUCAGUUGCGAGAGCAGAGCUUAGAGAAAAAAAAAAAAGAAAAUGGCAAAAAGCGACGUGAAGGUUUUGGGUGCGUGGCCAAGCCCAUUUGUGAUGAGGGCAAGAAUCGCACUUAAGAUCAAGUCUGUGGAGUAUGAGUUUCUGGAGGAGAAUUUGGGAUCCAAAAGCGAGCUUCUGCUUAAAUCAAACCCUGUUCACAAGAAAAUCCCAGUUCUGAUUCACAAUGAUAAGCCUGUUUGCGAAUCUCUCAUCAUUGUCGAGUACGUGGAUGAGGCUUGGUCCUCUUCAGGUCCCUCUAUUCUUCCUUCUGAUCCUUAUGACCGUGCCGUUGCUCGUUUCUGGGCCGCUUAUGUUGAUGAGAAGGUACAGUUUCCUUUCUUUGUUUUGUAGAAGAUGUUUUAAGUCAAUUCUUUUUAUUCGAAUUAUGUGCAUCUAAAAUUUUUUAAAACUUUUUCAGUUUUGAAAACUGUUUUCGGAAAUUAAUAGUCUCUCUUGUUAAAUCAAAGAGGUAAAGUGUGUGAUUGGAAUUAUUUCCGGUGGAAAAAUGAACUUGAAAAGAAAACUAAAGAAAGAUUAAGAAAGCAGAGCCCAAGAGGAAAACAAUCAAUAGAAUCUGGAAGUUUGAUUUUUCAUAAAACGGGCUUUCUAGAGACCCCCAAUAACCAAUUCUCGCAUUAAUUGCUAAGGAGCACUUUCAAGUCUCUCGACUCCCGAGCCUCCUAAGCCUUGUCCUUAAAACUAUCGUUCGAUAAAUCGAACGCUAGACGAACAGAAAGCAGGUAAGCCCUUAAAAGAAAAGCUUUGAAGGUAACUGUGCCAAGUAUGGGCUCACGCUCUUCGCAGGCUCCGGCCUCUUUAGGGUUUGGGCAUACUAAGUAUGUAGCAGAGCCCAAAAGGAAAACGAUCAAUAGAAUCUAGAAGUAAAUCUGGAGAAGUGACAUAUACUCACAUAUCUAAGGAAAUAAAUAUAUAUGAAUCUUAAGAGAUGAUACUGAUAGAGAUUGGAGAGAUAGCAAGAACGAAUCUUUAACUUGACAUAAAGCAUAUAAGAAUCAAUUGGUAGUGAUUGAAAUCUCGCCUUGAUUGAUCAAAUUAUGAUAUAUCUAUUAUGAUUUGCAGUUGUUCCCUGCCUUGAAAAGCAUUGGUAGUGGAGAUGGAGCGGAAGCUAAGAAAGCUGCGAUUGAGCAAUUGAUUGAAGGCUUGGUUUUGCUGGAGGAUGCUUUUGUUAAGUGUAGCAAAGGGAAGCCUUUCUUUGGUGGAAGCCAAAUUGGGUUUCUUGACAUUGCAUUUGGUUGCUACUUGGGAUGGGUGAGAGUGACAGAGAAAAUGAAUGAGGUGAAGCUCCUUGAUGAAGUCAAAACUCCUGGACUGUUCAAAUGGGCUGAGAGAUUCUGUGCUGAUGCCGCUGUCAAAGAUGUUAUGCCUGAGACUGAUAAGCUUGCAGAGUUUGCUAAGGUUCUUGCCAAACUCAGAGCUUCUGGCAAAUGGAAUUAAGAAGCUUAAUUCUGUGCCUGGAGGGGCACAAAAAAAAAGAAAAAGAAAAAAAAAAGAGUUGUUUCCAGAAAUAAAUUCGAAUAAGGAUUAAGUUUUGUUUUUGGUUUAGUUUGGAACGGUAAAGCCUGUAUCAUUUGGGUUCUGUUAUCGGGCUAGGCAGCAGCCUCUCUCGUGUCUCCUAAAAUUGAAAUUCCUUUCAGUCAUCUGCUGCAAAGAGCUCAUUAUCUAUACUCAUGUAUACCAAGUGAAGGUAUAAAGGUUACUGUGUUGUUUUUCUCCGCAGAAUUUUUUCCCACAUACGGUACACAUCUGGGCUACGUGCCAUAUUCGUUGUUAUAAAAGUUAUCGUAUUAUGUAACGGUGGAAUUCCCGCAUGGCAUUUUGCAAGAAUUAACGAUUUUCGAACUCAAUAAUCUUAAAUAUUUGAGUUGCAAUCUGAAUUCUGUUGCACUUAUCAAUUGAAUAGUAUAAUAGAGGAAUAAAUAAUUUUGUAUUUAUCAUUCCAUAGAUGAGUAAUACAUGGUAUCAAAAUUUUAAGUUAGAAUUUAAAUAUUAAAAUCUGUUUGGGCAUAUGGCUAAAAUCAAUUCACAAUCUUUAUCAUCCUAAAAUGAGACUUUGGCGACGAGCACACUGCUGGACAAAGUAGUUAUUAAUAAUCAUAUCAAAACUGAUUAAAAUGACCAUCAAACAUGUGUUGAUUGAAUAAAUUGUGUGCAGAAUUUGAUAUUCUGUUAUUCUCUUUCCCAGAAAUCAAUUCUUAACACCACCACCACACCAGAACUGUAUACAUUUCACUAGUUUCAGUCAACCGAAACGGCCGGUAAAAUACGGUCUGUAUACCCGGCCCUACCCUGAGGCCCAACUCGUCCUGACUUCGUCGGACCCUAACCAAAGUUAUUAAACAAGAAGCUGCGCUAAGCCACCGAGAGUCUGAGACUGCAGCGCCAGUCCCCAUUUAAACGGGAAAAACAAAAAAAAGAGAGAAAAAAUGGCAACACUGAAGAAAAUCCCUUUGGUUCUGAUGGGAUGCGGAGGCGUCGGACGCCAGCUCCUCCAGCACAUUGUUUCCUGCCGAUCACUUCAUGCCAAUCUGGUACUCCUUCUCUACUUUCCAAAGUUUAUUAGCGCCCCCAAAUUAACUAAUUAAUUAAUUAUUUAGUAGCUAUAUAUUCAUUAAUUAUUACAUGUCGGAGAUGUAUUCUUUUGAUAUGAAUGUGCCUGUCUUCUAAUAAACUCGUCGAUGAUUCUGUUUCUAUAGAAGACUGGUAAAUUUGUUUUAACUGUAACACUUCAUGAUUGAUGAUCGGUCGGCACGGCAGGGGGUGCAUUUGCGAGUGGUAGGAGUAAGUGACAGCAAGUCAUUGGUUGUUGCGUCGGAUGUUUUCACAAAGGAGUUCAACGAUAACCUCUUAUCAGAAAUUUGUCGCCUCAAGGCGGACCACUCUUCUCUCUCAACGCUUAUUAGUGGUUUCGGAGGUAAUCCUCUUGUAUUGUAUUGUUGAGGAUUUAAUAGAUUACUUAUUCUGUUUAUUUCUCAUGCUUUUGCUUUUCUUUUGAUUCUUUAUCAAAGGUGAAUGCCAAGUGUUUCUCGAUUCUGAUUUGAGAGGAAAGUUAUCAGAAAUUGCAUCUCUUCUGGGUAUAUCAACAGGUUCGUCUUCGUGACAAAUUACUAUCUUACCGGCCUUUAUACUUCUUUUGAAACACUGAUUAGUUUUUCAAUCAAUUGAAGUUUCAUGUUUGUUUUUAGAGUUUAGUGAUUCUUAUCAUUCAUUCACCUCAAGCAAGGUCAUUUCAAGCUUGGUCUUUUGCUUAAUCUUGCAACAGGUUUGGCCUUUGUUGAUUGCUCUGCCAGUUCUGAGACUGUUGAAAUAUUAACUCAAGCAGUUGAUUUGGGUUGUUGCAUUGUCUUGGCAAACAAGAAGCCUCUUAUGUCUACAAUGGUAAUAACUCUACAAGGCUUCCUUAUUUGGUUGUAACUGGACUUAGUUGGACAUGUAUAGUCAUCCUAUGGCCAUUCCAUGAUCAACCACUAACAGACUUAAUUCUGGAGAUGGCGACACUUCCUGCUGUCAUUAAAUGCUGCAAUGCCAUUUCUUUUGUGGCCAAUUCGAACAUUCUAUAUUUUUACCAUUUAAGAUGAAUUACGUUUGGUGUUUAAUUCUUUUAAAAUUAAAAAUGACAAAUUUUCAUUGAGCAAUUUAGUGCAAUAUUAAUGUUUUUGAAUUUUUUUACCAACCUCAUGCUAUUCUGUAAUGUAGGAGGAUUAUGACAAAUUGGUCUCACAUCCACGCUGUAUUCGGUAUGAGUCAACUGUAAGUGAAGUUUCCUGCUUUUGUCAUAUAAAAGGAAAUCGUGGGUGAAGUGUCUCAUUUGAUGUCUGUUUCUCCAUAGGUUGGUGCUGGCCUUCCUGUCAUAGCAUCCUUAAAUCGUAUUCUUUCUUCUGGAGACCCUGUCCAUCGUAUUGUUGGAAGUCUGAGUGGUAUUGGUUUUCUUUUCUUUUCUUUUCUUUUUUUUUUUGGGUUAGACAUUUAUUCUUCCUUCACAUAUGAAGUUCAUGCUUUUCCUGUAUCUGCUUGUAUUUUUUUGCAACCAUAUUUCAUAUAUGAAUAUUGGCUGUCAUUUGCAUAAUAUAUUUUGUAUUAGGUACAUUGGGGUAUGUAAUGAGCAAGGUUGAAGAUGGGAAGCCACUUAGUCAAGUUGUUAAAGCUGCUAAAAGCCUGGGAUACACUGAACCAGGUUUAAUUGUGAUUUUAAAUUUCUAUAUUGCAGUAGAUCAUAUCUUUUCUAUAAGUAUAUUCAGUUGCAUCUUCUAAUUUUGUUUAUGCAUGCUUACAAAUUUAUAUUAAAAUAUUUACACAAUUUAAUUCUUAUUAUUUUUCGUUUAUGGACUUUUUUUUUUUGGCUGUAAUAUUGUUUUUCCAAAUAUUCAUGCAUUAAGCAUUGUUCUUUUCAGCAUUGUUUACCAUUGACCAGUGCUUUGGAAACUUGAAGCAAAAGUUUCUUCAAUUUGGUUUGGAUUAUUAAAACACAGGAAUAGCCUGGUUUGCUUUGGUUACUUUCUUUGUCAGGUUUAUAAAGCUAUCUAAUCCUGUGGGGUAUUUUACACUUUAUGAAUUUGUUGAAGUGACAGACUGAUGACAAUUGAACCCAAGCAACUCAUCGGUACUUGUAAUUAUGGUGGAAUUCCUGAGUUUGUGGUUAUGAAAACUCCAUUAUUAAGCUUUUACGAAGACAACUUCCACAGCUGCAGAGGAGAAGAGAAGCACCAGUGGUCUAGUGGUAGAAUAGCACCCUGCCACGGGGUUCGAUUCCCGGCUGGUGCAUGUAUUUUUGUGGCCUUUUUGCCUUUUGGGGCAUUUGUCAGAAAAUACUAUCUCCACGCGCCUUCGUAAGUCACCAGCUUUUUUAAUUCAUAAAACUCUUGGACUGUCUCCAGAUCCAUAUCUUGUGGAUGUGGUCCAGCCAUCCAGACAAAUCGCAUCUUCGACGCACUUCUUAAUUCCUACCAGUAACCGCCCUUGAGCCUUCCCAUCCAAUUCCAACGAGCUGCCAGCUUAUAAUAACAACAACUUGCUCGGUCAAAGGACGAAAGGACAAACUGUGUCAUUAUUUGUUUUCGGUCAUUUCAAUGUGUGAACACUCACUGACUCACAUCAGAAAGACCAAUAAAUAUCCAUGAAAAUGGGACAUGGCUGCGGCGCAGAAGCUGCAAGUAACAGCUUCAAACCUUCCCAUUUCCAUCACCUUGCAUUGGGACCUCUUUCUCUCUCCUCUGGCACCCGUAGAAGUUCCCCAUUGGCUGCUGUUACUGACAGAAGCCGUAACAUAAUUGAUUCCGAGCUGCCCAUUUCGUACCCCUCUAACAGUCAAACGUUCACAUUAGUGGCGUAGUUCACAUCCCCUACAUUCAUCUGGAUCUAAUUAUAAAUACACACCCCACGAAGCAAAAGACAUUUCAUUUCAGUUGCGAGAGCAGAGCUUAGAGAGAAAAAAAAAGAAAAUGGCAAAAAGUGACGUGAAGGUUUUGGGUUUUUCGCCAAGCCCAUUUGUGAUGAGGGCAAGAAUCGCACUUAAGAUCAAGUCUGUGGAGUAUGAGUUUCUGGAGGAGAAUUUGGGAUCCAAAAGCGAGCUUCUGCUUAAAUCAAACCCUGUUCACAAGAAAAUCCCAGUUCUGAUUCACAAUGAUAAGCCUGUUUGCGAAUCUCUCAUUAUUGUCGAGUACGUGGAUGAGGCUUGGUCCUCUUCAGGUCCCUCUAUUCUUCCUUCUGAUCCUUAUGACCGUGCAGUUGCUCGUUUCUGGGCCGCUUACGUUGAUGAGAAGGUAUAUUUUCCUUUCUUUGUUUUGAAAAAAAUGUUUUAAGUCAAUGCUUUUUAUUCGAAUUAUGUGCAUCUAAAAUUUUUUAAUCUUUUUCAGUUUUGAAAACUGUUUUCGGAAAUUAAUAGAGUCUCUCUUGGUAAAUCAAGGAGGUAAAGCGCGUGAUUGGAAUUAUUUCCGGUGGAAAAAUGAACUUGAAAAGAAAACUAAAGAAAGAUUAAGAAAGCAGAGCCCAAAAGGAAAACAAUCAACACAAUCUAGAAGUAAAUCUGUAGAAGUGACGUAUACUCACAUAUCUAAGGAAACAAAUAUAUAUGAAUCUUAAGAGAUGAUACUGAUAGAGAUUAGAGAGAGAGCAAGAACGAAUCUUCAACUUGACAAAAAGCAUAUAAGAAUCAAUUGGCAGGUAGUGAUUGAAAUCUGGCCUUGAUUGAUCAAAUUAUGAUAUAUCUAUUAUGAUUUGCAGUGGUUCUCUGCCUUGAGAGACAUUGGUAGUGCAAAUGGAGCGGAAGCUAAGAAAGCUGCGAUUGAGCAAUUGAUUGAAGUCUUGGUUUUGCUGGAGGAUGCUUUUGUUAAGUGCAGCAAAGGGAAGCCUUUCUUUGGUGGAAACCAAAUUGGGUUUCUUGACAUUGCAUUUGGUAGCUACUUGGGAUGGCUGAGAGUGACAGAGAAAAUGAAUGAGGUGAAGCUCCUUGAUGAAGUCAAAACUCCUGGACUGUUGAAAUGGGCUGAGAGAUUCUGUGCUGACGCUGCUGUCAAAGAUGUUAUGCCUGAGACCGAUAAGCUUGCCAAACUCAGAGCUUCUGCUCCGCCUUCCAGCUGAUUUAAGCUAAAUACUGGACAUUAGUCUAGCAAUGGAACUAAGAAACUUAAUUAUGUGCUUGAAGGGGCCCAAAAACAAAAAAAAAAAAAAAAAGAGUUGUUUUCAGAAAUUAAUUCGAAUAAGAAUUAAUGGCGACCAUAAAGUUAGUAGUUUUGUUUUUGGUUUCGUUUGGAACGGUAAAGCCUGUAUCAUUUGGGUUCUGUUAUCGGACUAGGCAGCAGCCUGUCUCGUGUCUUAUAAAAUUGAAAUUCCUUUCAGUCAUUUGCUGGAAAGAGCUUAUUAUCUAUAUAUACUCAUGUAUAAUACCAAGUAAAGGUAUGAAGGUUAUUGUGUUGUUUUUUCUCUGUGGAAUUUUUCCCCACAUACAGUACACAUCUCGGCUACGUGCCAUAUAUGGUGUUAUAAAGUUAUCGUAUUAUGUAACGGUGAAA
rnacentral:lncRNA from 1 species